CUGGAUGCAGGGUUGGAACCUAACUUGUUUGUCCUGGCAUGACUUCCACAGGAAACCACCAACUUAACGAAAUGCUGCGUGACUAAGGAGAGCCUAUUCUGUUAACACUCUGAACUGGUGCUGCAAAAAAACAAAAACAAAAAAAAAACCCCUACAAAUGUUUUUUAAAAGUUUCUUGAACUGUUGGCCUGAUUUCCUUUUGAAUGUCUCUUCUGUCUACGGAGUAAAACUAAUGAGAGGUAUGGAAGCACAGAACUCCUGAAAGCUCAUAUAUUCCUUUGUCCUGUGUAAAAGCUGUGCAGUAAAAAGGGAGAGCAAAGAGAGGCAGGCUGAAUAGAAGUUUUCAAAGUUUGCUCAGCAGGGCAGGUGGCGUUUUCAGAGGCUGGAGCAAGGCCAGUCAACACUGGCCCACCUGCAAGAGAAAAGCAGAACAGACACCACUAACUAGCCAGCGAAAAGCAGCUGCAUCUAUUCUCCCUUUUUAGCACUCUGGAUGUCGGCAAGAAGAGGAAGAGGACUUGGCAAGUUCCACAUUGAUGGUAGCCCACAAGAGAAGUCCUGGCUUUGAGUCUUCCAAGUUCAGACUUUGUUGAAACGGUUUCCAAUUUGGACAAGAAUGUUGUUUAUCAUGACCCUUGUUGCACAACCCUGGGUCAAGACUCCCAUGGUUAUGUUAGUCUGAACCUAACAUAAAGACCUACCGAGCUGGCUGGAAUUAUCCCCUCUGCUCAAAUAGGUUUCUUCUGGCCACAUAUAUACGGAGAAGAAGAGGAGUGCCAGGCUGCAACCUGAAUAUAUUUAUAUUCUCUGUAUCUUGCACAAUAUCUUUAUAUUCCCCGAUUAUGUUACCCUGAUUAUGUUAUUCACAGUUUUGCAAAAGUAUCCUUAAAAUGGCUGCUCUUAUUUUGAAGAAACGUGGCGGCAAGGCACCAAUCUGGAAUGUAAGGAUUUCUAAUCUGAAUUAGGGCCCUCCAGCAGUUUCCUGCCAAAAAUCCACUUCCCCAGCAACCAUCUGCCCUCAAAGGUGCUGUUUAUCAAAAGCAGGACACAUUUCUCAACUCAGGAAAUUCUCUGUACAGAAGAUGAAUUUAGUCAACAUUUGUUGGAAACAGGUGAGCUCCUAUGUGUCACCUGCCUAUAUUUCCAGCAUAAUAAGACAUUGUUGACGGAUUUGUGCAGCCUAGUGAUUUCUUCCAAAUAAAGACAAUUUGACAGCCGGUGCAAAAUAAGUUCUGCCAUUACUGAAAAAGCCAAGGUUACCAUAAUAACCGUCCAAAAAUAACUGUGCCCACAGCAUUUUUCCUGGAGAAGCAAACAAGUUGAAGACUGAGAAGAAUCAUUUCAAAGGACAAGUAUUUUAAUGCAACCUGAGCCUACACAUGUCCUCUCAGGUGUUCUGUGAGCUUGUUCCACUAACAGUGCAAUUCUGCAUGUCUCUAUAAGCCUGUUUGACAAUACAGGACCUUACUCCCAGGUGGGGAUAGAUGAAGCUGCCAGUUCUUCUCUCUCUUUCUCAUUUUUCCAUCCUGAAAUUCAAUUCUGCAUCAGUUUGUGAUUUAAAUAGGAAGUUCUCAUGAAAAUUCAUCUGCAUUUCUGUGUGAAUUUCUUCACAUAUGCACAUUAGUGCAGGCAAAUUUCCCUAACAAUAUGACUUUUUAUGUUAUACUCACCAAUAAAUACAUUUUUAUGCACCCUACUACCCCUAGUAUUGCACAUUUGGUUGGAGAAGUACAUUGCAAAUUUUUUAAAUGUGAGAAUUUUGAAGGUUGGCUGUGUUUCAGUGCAUGUCUUUUUUCAAGCAAUGCAGAUUAAGGAAUUCCACAUAAACAUGAACAGCACUAAUUUUUCUCCCAGUUGUACUCCCAGGUGAGUGUUUAUGGGAUUGCUGCCUUCUAGGUUUAUGUGGAGUGCAAUGAAGAAUUGCAGGACACUACAUAUCAUAGGACACAAAUAGAAUAUGAAGUAAGCAAUUUUUUGCCUCCUUUUGUCCUUUUUUGUUGUUUAAAUGGUAUCUUAAGCAUGGCAUAUCCAACGUUUGUAUGCAAAAAUAAAUAAAUUAAAAGUAAGUAGCCAAAAAUAGGGGAAAAGGCAUGAAUUCAGAUGAGUUUCCCCUCAUUCAGUUUUUAUGCUUAUUUCCACCUGCUGAAUGUAAGAACUAGUUGAGAUUCACCCACUGCUGCAUAGGCUUUUGUUUCAGCAGGAAUUACAUGGAGACAAGCCAUAAUUCUAAUGCUUAAAGAACAAGUCAUUUAUCUAAUUAUAUAGUUUAGUCUCUGUUCACAAACCAGCCUUGUAUAUUGAAAAGAUUCAGAGCAGAUGUAAUCUAAUUUUUUUCUUUUUUUUAAAAAAAUGUACUUUUAAGUAGUAGCCCUGAUAGGAAAUUUGCAGAGUGUAAGAGUGUCACAGUACAAUAACUGGAAUAAUAAUGAAAAUAAUAAUAAUAUAAACUUUGAAGCCAGUGCUCAUAUCAUUUUAAGAGAAAGAUUUAGGCUACAAUCCUGCACACACUUACCUGGGGGUAAGAGCAACUGAAUAUCAUUAGGCUUAGCUCUGAGUAAACAUAUACUAUUAUUUGGGCAAUUCUUAUUCUCAGUCUUGUCAAGCUGUUUUGUUUUUUAAACAGCCUUUAUUGCAUUAAAAAAAAAUGUAGGUGGGCAUAACUUCAGUGGACUGCACUGUGUAAUCUAUGAUUUAUAAAUGCGUAGAUGUGGCCUUCAGGGACGCGGGUGGCGCUGUGGGUUAAACCACAGAGCCGAGGACUUGCCGAUCAGAAGGUCGGCGGUUCGAAUCCCCGCUACGGGAUGAGCUCCCGUUGCUCGGUCCCUGCUCCUGCCAACCUAGCAGUUCGAAAGCACCCCAAAAAGUGCUAGAUAAAUAGGUACCGCUCUGUUGGGAAGGUAAACGGCGUUUCCGUGCGCUGCUCUGGUUUGCCAGAAGCAGCUUAGUCAUGCUAGCCACAUGACCCGGAAGCUGUACGCCGGCUCCCUCAGCCAAUAAAGCGAGAUGAGCUCCGCAACCCCAGAAUCGGUCACGACUGGACCUAAUGGUCGGGGGGGUCCUUUACCUUUAGAUGUGGCCUCCAGCGUGUCCAAUGUCUUUUUGGCUGGCCUGAUUCCCUCCUGAGUAUUUAGACUUCACUUCCAUGCAAUUAGGUACCACCCAGGCGACAGCUACCACCUGAAAUUUGGGCACUGACUCCAUUGAAAAGCAAAUUGAGGAGGCAAAGAGGAGAUGUGGAAGUUCUGUGAUUCAGCAGAAAGAGAAAGGUUUUUCUACUGAUUCAGACCAAUGGCUUGCAGUGGGUGGGGAAGUGUAUUUUAGUCUGCGUUUCGAAUACUGAUUUGAAUACAAGUUCCCGCUCGAGGGAAGCAGCUUGGAUUGACUGCAACAAUAUCUAUGGCUACUCGUCUGUUUACUUCUCAGUACCAGUCGCUGGGAGAUGAAAGCAGGAGAAGUCAAAGGUCUGAUUUAUACACACACUUGUUGGUCACUUGAUAACUGCAACAUCAAGGGAGGACUUCAGUGUGUAAGUGAGGAGAGGACACAGCUGAGUGCAUGUUUAGCAUACAGAAUGUGCCAGAGCCAAUCUCUAGUUAAAAGGACCCUACAUAGCAGUGUUUGGAAAGCGACUACUGCCUGUGGCCAUGAGAGCAGCCUCUUGUCAAAGGAGACAGUUGUGGGCUGGAUGCACCACUGGAUGUAUCAGUAAAACAUGGCUUCCUAAGCCGUUGGACUUUGAAGUUUUUAGUUCAAAGAGAAAGCCCUUCCUUGCCACCAUCCCCCAUUAGUAGGGUGGCAGGUUGCCAUCAGCUACGAGGAAGAAAUCUCAGAGGCACUGCAAAUCACACAAACUGUGAAUUACAGGUGGAUAGAUCAAGGGACGCGGCUGGCGCUGUGGUCUAAACCCCUGAGCCUCUUGGGCUUGCUGAUCAGGAGGUUGGCGGUUCGAAUCCCCGUGAUGGGGUGAGCUCCCGUUGCUUGGUCCCAGCUCUUGCCAACCUAGCAGUUCGAGAGCACACCAAAAAGUGCAAGUAGAUAAAUAGGUACCACUCUGGCGGGAAGGUAAAUGGUGUUUCUGUGCGCUGCUCUGGUUUUGGUGUUGUGUUGCGCCAGAAGCGGCUUAGUCUUGCUGGCCACAUGACCCAGAAAAAACUGUCUGCAGACAAACGCCGGCUCCCUUGGCCUGUAAAGCGAGAUGAGCGCCACAACCCCAGAGUCAUUUGCAACUGGACUUAACUGUCAGGGGUCCUUUACCUUUAGAACAAGCUAAGACCCAUGGGCAUAGCUAAGGGGGCAGCCCCACCCCCAAUCAAUAAAAAUACAUAGCUAACUGAGGUUCUUCCUCCCCCCAACAAAGGCCUGAUCCCCCCUGGCUAUGCCCAUACAGACCUACAACUAUUAUUUGAACUUGUGGCUGUAGCUUCUGAGUACUUCACUGGCCUCCAGCCAUGGAAGAUUUUUUUAAAAAAAAAUAUGCCUCAAAUUAAAAUACUAUUAAAAGGGUAUUACCAGCUAAGGUGCGUGCUGUACUUGGAGUGCUGGGUGAAAUAUGAUUAUGCAAGUCUGCAAGAUAGUCACCAAGUGUGUUUUUUUAUAUAUACAUAGCAUUAACACCUGACUAAGCACAUAAACAAUAAGGCAACAGGAUACCAAGACCAGCAUGAUAUAGGCCAAUGCAUUCUGCAGCCGCCAAAGCUUAAUCUGAACCAUCAUCAAGGCCAGCCUCACACAGAAGGUGAUUCAGUCCAUUACAGCUUCAAGGUGACAAUGUACUGAACAAUUGACUUUAUAAACAAUACGGAAAGGAGAAGAUUUAAAUAUAUAUUUUAUGCUCAUCCCAUCCUAAGUCUUCUUACAGUACCAUUCUACUCAGAAGCAAGUCCAGUUAGCAUUCAAUUCCCAGGUAGGGAUGGAUGGAUGGAUCCAUCCAUUUCAAUUGUCUUGGUUUUUCAUAUUUCCAGUCUUAAAAUUGAUUCUCCACAUUCAGCAGCAAUUUCUUAAUUAUUAUUUUUUUAAGCCCUGAAAACUCAUCAGCAAUUUGAGGAAGUGCAAAUUAGACAGGUUCACCUUUAAAUGUGAACUGAUGAAAUUGAUUACAAUGCCAAAUAUUUACCAAAGUAUGAGUCUCACUGAACUCAGUAUGACUUGCUUCUGAGUAGACAUGUAUAGGAUUAUGCUGCUAGACAUCUUCUGUCUAGACUGUCAUGGAUGUGGCAAAAAAUUAACCUCACAUACUUAAACCUUAAUUUUCAGGUUAUGAAAGAAUUCAGAUGCUGAUCAUCAUAGCGAUACAUUUUUUUAAAAAAAAAUGCACAAACCUCACUAUGCACAACUGAAUUCACCCCUGUCUUGAGCUCAGAUGGAAAAAGCAAACUUUCAAACCUUUUGGAUAUAAGAAUGAUCAGUGUUGAUAUAUAUAAUAGCAAAGUUCACUGUAACGUAUUAUGACAUUUUUAAUCAAAAGAAAGACAAUCUUUCAAAUCCAGAUGAAAGACCUAUUGCCAGUAUCUUCCACUUAGUCUAACCUAGCUGGUUCUAUAAUCUACAUUCUCUGGAAUAACCACUUCCCUUACAAACCUGAGAAUAAUCUUUCUACAGCUGGCUCGCAUUUAUUAUCAAUGUCACCAGACUGCACAUUUAUUUUAAACAGGGAUUUUACUGACAUCUGGUGGCAAUAAGAAAAAACUCACCCUUUUCAUAAAAUAUUAGACAAUCCCAGUUUUGUAUCAAACCUACAUUUCAAGGGGAUAUUCCAGAGAGAAGGGGACCAUCAAGCCAUGUGCUUAAUAACAUUUAAAGUUUUGUAGCAUUAAAUCAUAACACAAAAAUGUCUCUCAAAGAUCAGCUACUCCAAUAUUUUAGAUGGGGAAUGUAACUGAAGAAUGCAGCAUAUGAGCCAACCCAAUAAUAGCAAUGCAUGAAACAGAUAAGCCAGAGGAACACCACUAGCUGCGGCUAUGAGAUAUCACCAAUACAUAGUGUCCAUGUCUGAGGCAAGGGAGUUAGAAGAGGCUUACCAAUAGCAGGGUGCAGAUCUCAUUCCCAACAAUAAGUUAGGAAUGUGCAAAAUCCCUGAAAAGUUGAUUUCAAGAUAAUAUAGUACCCAAAUAUUAGAAGUGUGGCUUACGUUUUGUCCAAGGGCAGGUAUUUUACAAAAGAAGCACGAAGCCAGAAUUGGGAGGGCUACAAAGGAGUGGCUGAAUCUGAUCUUCACCAACUUGCUGCCUUAAAACGGAAAAUUCUAUACAUACAUCUUUCCAGACAAAUACUUGUUUAGCAUCUCCUCUAACACCUCAAAGGGACGCGGCUGGCGCUGUGGGUUAAACCACUGAGCCUAGGAUUUGCCAAUCAGAAGGUCGGCAGUUCAAAUCCCUGCGACGGGGUGAGCUCCCAUUGCUCGGUCCCUGCUCCUGCCAACAUAGCAGUUCGAAAGCACGUCAAAGUGCAAGUAGAUAAAUAGGUACCGCUCCGUCGGGAAGGUAAGCGGCGUUUCCGUGCGCUGCUCUGGUUUGCCAGAAGCGGCUUAGUCAUGCUGGCCACAUGACCCGGAAGCUGUAUGCUGGCUCCCUCGGCCAAUAAAGCGAGAUGAGCGCCGCAACCCCAGAGUCGGUCACGAAUGGACCUAAUGGUCAGGGGUCCCUUUACCUUUACUAACACCUCAAGACACAGAGCAUUCACAGCCUCCAUGGGAAAUUACACUAUAAAACCCUUGAUAAAAAAGAAUGUAAGCAACUGGAAAUGCUUGAAACCUGCCAAUUAGCUCCUGGGAACCACGAGGCAGACUGAAUGGGUGCAAGAGUUUUGCACCUUUGGAGGUAGAGAAAGGCCUGUCACCUUGGCAGUACGGUGGGAUAGUGGCCUGCGGACCCCCAAACAGGCAGGGAGGCGGUAAUGUCAAACCCUGGAGCACUCAAAAUAAUUCUUUUCAAUGUGAAAUAAACUCAAAAUUAAUGAACAUUAACAGUUGUGAGAUGUCUCAUGGCUGUGGAUUGGCAUGAUCUCCACACACAUUAAGAACUCCCACACACAAAAAUGUAGUAUCAGGAAGCAGAAAAGGAUAUGUGCAAUUAAAAGGGCUGACAAAGGUCCCAUCAGUACAAUAUAUUUAAGUGUUAUCAUACCACUUUAAACAGUCAUGGCUCCGCCCAAAGAAUCCUGGGAACUGUAGUUUGUUAAGGGUGCUGAGAGUUGUUUGGAUAACCCCUAUUCUCCUCACAGAGCUCCAGUUCUUCCGUGGGAAGAGGCACAGGCACCAAGUUGUGCCUGACAUUAGGGAAGGAGGCUGACAUCACAUGCACGAUGCACGUGCUCAUGACCGCAUUGUGUGUGUGAUGGGUGCUGCAUCAGGCGAGGCCGAAUCCUCCCGAUGUGACAUUCACCUGCCAGGCUGUGCUGGUCCAUGCAAUGUCACCCAGGGUGACAUCCCGCCAGACCUCUUCCCCCUCAAAUUUGGGGGGUUGAGCCCUAUCCCAGCGGACAUUGGGGGGCCUCAGCCCUAUAGAGUUAGGAAGAGGGUGCCUGGGAAAGGGGAUUGAUUGCGAAACCACUCUGUGAAUCAUUGCUCUGUGAGGGGAAUGGUGCUUUCCUAACCACGCUCAGCACCCUUAACAAACGUGUUUCUAGAAUUCUUUGGGGGAAAGCCACAACUAUUUCAAGGGCUAUGAUACUUCCUCUGUUUGUUUGUUUUUUGCACAGGGCAUGAUUACAAGAUUUAAUAUCAUGGUCAAAGGAUGCAAACUUUCUUUCUUUUAUGUACUUAUUUAGCUUAUGAUUAUUUAUUAAAUUUGUAUACCGCCCUAUACCCAUUAAGGGACGCGGGUGGCGCUGUGGGUUAAACCACAGAGCCUAGGACUUGCCAAUCAGAAGGCUGGCAGUUCAAAUCCUGCCAACAUAGCAGUUCGAAAGCACGUCAAAGUGUGAGUAGAUAAAUAGGUACCACUCCGGUGGGAAGGUAAACGGCAUUUCCAUGCACUGCUCUGGUUUGCCAGAAGCAGCUUAGUCAUGCUGGCCACAUGACCCGGAAGCUGUACGCUGGCUCCCUCGGCCAAUAAAGCGAUAUGAGCGCCGCAACCCCAGAGUCGGUCACGACUGGACCUAAUGGUCAAGGGUCCCUUUACCUUUACCUUACUAUACCCAUUGGGGGAGGAAGAUAACCCUCUCCCCUUUACCUGCCCAGCACCCCUCACUCAGCAGGGGCACACACAGACCAGUCUCUGUCAAAGAUCUGCUGAAGGGUUCAAAGUUUAGGUAGGCACACACAGAAACAAUAAAGUCUUAAGAUAACUAGUGCCAAACCAUAGAGAGAUUUAAAUACUUCAAAUUGGGCCCAGAAUGGGACCAAAAGCCAGUUCUCAUAUGACUGAGGGUGCAGACCACAAGAUUCAGUCUGGGAUCUGAUUUGACCUGCGGCACUUCAGGUUUUUUUCCAGCUUUGAAUCUAAAUCCCAAUUUGGAAAAAUGAGGCUUCAUGUCUCACUCAUUUUACUAAUUAUUAUUAUUAUUAGGAAGUUUAAAAGUGGUUAUUAACUUUGUGGGGAGCUGUUGUAGAGAAGGGACAUUUUCCUCAGCUCCCACUUUCUCCCACAGCCAGUGCAAACAGCAAGACUGGGGACAGAUACCUAUGGCACUCCAUUAAGCCCAUCUGCUGCUGCCCAGGGGGUCGAAUUGUCCCCUUAGUGUAAUGCUGACUUUACAGCCAAGAAUAUGUGGCCAUGUGGCGCAGAGGCAGGAGGACCUGAGCAAGAACUAACAAUGAACACAGAACAGAUGAGAACAGUAUAGUACUUCCAAAUUCCUUCCCUCAAACACUGUGUCUGGAGUGCCCUGGUAAAAUCAUAACUUCUGAUUUGAAGCUAGACCUGUCAGUCACCAAAGAGCUCUACUUCUCCCUUCUGUCCACCCUGUUAAAUGGCAAACUUUGAGGUAAAUAUUUCAUAUUCUGCAGAUUCACAGACACGGACACAGACAUGUCCGAUCCCCCCCCAUCCCCCACUCCAAUGUCAACAAGCACCCAAGUGCUUUGAACCUCACUUGGGAGGUUCCUGCAUUGGUUCAGAGCUCUUUAGGGAGAUCUCACGUCAUCUCAGUUAAGCCUGAACCAGGUCAGGAUUUGAGAUUUGUCUAAAUUUAAUACGCAUCCCUAGUUUGUAAUUUAGUGGGGCUUACUCCUGGGUAAGUAGGGUUAAGAUUGUAGCCUAUCUCACAAGCUUGAUUUCACAGGUAAGCAUAGACUUGCUAUCCAGUCUCACGUCCCUCACUCAGGGAUCACGGAAUGGCAAUUUAGUCCUCUGUUGCUAUUUUGUUCCUUGUGUCCUGGGUUGUUUGAACUACUUGUAGAAUCAUAGAAUUGUAGAGUUGGAAAGCAUUCCUACAAUGUAGGAAUCUCAACCACAGCUUCCAAGACAGGUAGCCAUCCAACCUCUGCUUAAAAAUAUCCAAAGAAGGAGAGUCCACCUCCACCUGAGAGAGUCUGUUCCACUGUUGAACAGCUCUUACUGUCAGAAUGUUCUUCCUAAUGUUUAGUUGGAAUCUCCUUUCUUGUAACUUGAAUCUAUUGGCUUCGGUCCUACCCUCUUCCAUGUGACAGCCCUUAAAAUAUUUCAAGAUGGCUACCAUAUGUGCUCUCAAUCUCCUCUUUUGCCUGCCUCACACCCUACCAAUCACAAUGGGCACCUGCCACCACUGAUGGUCUAGAAUUUGGUCUACAUCAAGCCAUCUUUUUUUCCUUGCUCAUUUCACAGGAAACAGUCAUAUGCUUAUGUAGGCGCUUCCUCUGUUAUUCCAGUUUGGUGACAUUUGAUUAGACCCACUUAGAUCUAAUCCUGCCAAAUGGUCUCAGGGGUCUUCUUCUCUUUUUGCUAUCUCCUCCUCCCCUUUUUAUAUGGCAAGUUCCCCUCUUGUGUUUUCAGUGUGUGGUGUUCCAGUGUGUUGCUUAACAGAUUGGAUGCCAUGUGUAAACACUUAAUCAUUUAAUUAGACAAUAAGGCACUCUGCCAUUAAUGUGUGGCCUGUGUGUACUGCAAAACAGACAUCUGAAACUGAGCAGCGGCCAAUUCACACAAUCCUCCAGGCCUGAAAGUAUGUCACGGUAUGGAAGCAGAUUGUUUCACAUUAACCCAAUGGGAUCUUGCGGCUUCAUUUCCCACUGCCGUCACCACCGUAAAUAUUCUAAGGGAUUAAAUGAAGGGCUUCUAAUUUCACUUGCAAUAACAUUCCCUACAGUCCUAUUAAAAAUAUAUACCCUGGCCAACAGCAUUGUCUGGUGAGGCCUCAAUGUCACUAUUCUACUACUGAAUCUAGAACUUGUGCAGAAAUGGUCUCUUGAAAUUAUUCACCUUGUUUUGUAAAGGAAAAAGUGGGGACCAUUUCACUGAAUUUCUCCAGGGAGAGAAUAAAUUAUCUAACUAUUUCUCAGGGGUGGAGCUUACCACUUGCAUCAGCAAUAGCAAAACGUCUUUCUUUCCCCUAAAAAAUGAUAUUUCCUCCUGCCACUCUGAGUGGCAGCCUGGCUACCAUUUUGGAUUGGCACCACUGACGCCAUACUGCAUCCUUCACAAAGCCCUGAACUUACUUUAUUCCAGAAAAUUGUGGAGAUGAGAAACUAGCCAUCACAAAAGAAAUGGUGAGGAUACAGAGAAAAAUCUUUUUAAGGGGUGACGGUGAGGCAAAUAAAAGUCUCAGAAAUUUUCUGAGAAUAUAUGUCUUCUGAGAAAUUUCAGCUCAGCUCGAACUGAAGAAACUGACCAGAGCCAUUUUGAGUAAUCAAUAUUUAUCAGCUCUUUAAUGUGGCAGAUCUAUAUCAGUUGCCAACAACAAAAAGAUGUCUAUUACCAAAUCACAUCUCUUAUUUGCUUAAUUUUUGCAGCUCUAAGCUGCAAGUAUGUCACAUUUGGACCAAUGAGGGUAAAAAUAACUUGUGGAACACAUCCUAGAUUUCGAAGGACAUGAUAAUAGAUUUGGAUGGCAUGCAUGCCUAUGGUAUGAAAAAGCAAAGGUCCAUAAAGCAUUUCAGAAUCAUAUAAUAAGAAAAAUGAUUUUCAGGGUAUGGGGGAAAAUUUAUUUGAGCAAAAAACGCCCUGGUGGCUUUCCCCUUUGGAAGCAAUAUCUUUGAGAAAAGUGAACAUGAGAAAUAAUUGGCCGACAUAUAGAGAACUGCUAACCAAAGUGGAAAAUCAGUUAAAAUUAAAAGAUUUUGAAGAGAUAAGGGAACUAGUAACAGAUUGGCUGUAGUAUUUUCAAUUGAAUGAAAUCUCCAAGAUAAACAAAAAGAGAGGUUUUAGUUAUGACAUAUCAAGAUUCCAAAAAUAACUUCUAGAAAACAAUAUUAAAACUCUGUCCAAAAUGUACAACUUGCUCCUAGAAUAGCAUACAAAGGAUGAACAGGUUUAAUCGGUUAUGAUGAACUGGGCAAAGGACUUAGGACAUAACAUACAAAUGGCAGAUUGGGAGAGGCUAUGGAGAACAGAUCUGAAAUUCACUGUAUGUUGUACGCUGAAAGAAAAUUAUAUGAAAAUGAUGUACCGGUGGUAUCUAACUUCUACUAAGUUAUCCAAAAUGUAUAGAGCAAGCUCCAAUAAUUGCUGGAAGUGCAAAGAAAGUGAGGGUACCUUUUAUCAUAUGUGGUGGUCAUGCAAGAUAACAAAGUCUUUUUGGGAACUGAUAUACAAUGAAUUGAAAAAAAAAGUUUAAAAUAACAUUUGUUUUAAAAAAACCAGACACAUUUCUAUUAGGAAUCCCAGGUUCCGAUAUCCCACUUGCCUACAUAUGUUACCUAUGAAUCACUUGGUUUUCUUUGAAUACCCAAAUAUGCCCAGAUAAUAUGUACCUUGCUUUUCUCUAUUGAGAAGUUUCCUGGUUGUGUCUUUAUCAUGUGCAACAACAACAACAAAAUCAAAUGUUUUAUAAAGAUAGUAAUGCAUUCAAAAAUGCUUUAAAAUCAUUUAGAAUCCUAAAAUUGCAGAGUUGGAAGGGACCAUGAGGGUCAUUUAGUCUACCCUCCCCACAAUGCAGAAAUCUUUUGCUCAUGACCCUGAGAUUAAGAGCCUCAUGCUCUACUGACUGAGCUGACUGUGUUUAUCCACUUCUGAUGUAUCUAGCAUUGUGAUUAUUAGGCUCUUUUGAAAUUAGACAUGCUUGCAAAUUAACACAACACGGGGGUGCAAUCCUGCAGGGGGCACAAACACACAGCAAAUUCAUCUGGUAGAAACCAAUAGUGCCCUCUGUCCCCUACCAGUACACCCUACCAGUACAUUGAAAUACAGUCAUACCUCGGGUUGAAGUAGCUUCAGGUUAAGCGUUUUCGGGUUGCGCUCCGCGGUGACCCGGAUGUAACAGAGCAUGUUACUUCCGGGUUUCACCGCUCACGCAUGCGCAGAUGCUCAAAAUGAUGUCAUGUGCAUGCGCGGAAGCGGUGAAACGCAACGCGCAGUCGCGUGUUACGUUCUACUCAGGAUGCAAACGGGGCUCCGGAACGGAUCCCGUUUGCAUCCAAAGGUACCACUGUAGUCUCUUGCGCUAGGGAAGAAAAAAAGCUGUAGAGCAGAGAUGGACAACCCUUGGCUCUCUGGGUGCAGCUGAACCACAGCUCCCGUUAGCCCUAGCAAGCAUGGGCUAUGGUCAGAGAUUAUGGGGGCUGGAGUUUGGCAACAUUUAGAGGUCCAUAGAUUCCUCAGCCUGCUGUGGAUAAAUAACUAAAUCAUACUCAGAGUAGACCCCUUGAAAUUAAAGGACAUAAAUCCAUCUGUUUAAUGAAUCUACUCUGUACAGUCGUACCUCGGAAGUCGAACGGAAUCCGUUCCAGAAGUCUGUUCAACUUCCAAAGCAUUCAGAAACCAAAGCGCAACUUCUGAUUGGCUGCAGGAAGCUCCUGCAGCCAAUCGGAAGCCACGUCAGACGUUCGGUUUCCAAAAACAGUUCGCAAACCGGAACAAUCACUUCUGGGUUUGCAGCGUUUGGCAGCCAAAACGUUCAAGAACUAAGCUGUUCAAAAACCAAAGUACAACUGUACUGCCACCCCUUGAUAAUGCCCAGCAAUUCAACCAAAACUGUGUGAAAUUGGCCCAUUCGAGGAUAAAUGGUCCCAUGAACAGCCCAACUAACCUGGUUUCAUUUUUGAUUUGCCAACUCAUUGAUACCUUUAGUUAGCAAUAGGGAUGAAGGAGAAUUCAAUUUGGUUAGCAUUUAAAUGCAAAUCUAACAAAGUCAUAUUUCCCAAAACAAUAUGAAAACCAAAACACAACCAGAGUCAAAUCUUCACACAUAUAAAAAAAAAAAUGCUGUGAAAAUGCUUUUUUAAAAAACCUUUUGAAAAAUACAUUCAAUUUUGCAUAGCUCGCUGUCACCAUCUAGUGUCACAUUUGUAUAUUGCCCUUACAAUACAUUUAAAAUGUUUUAUUUGUAGCUGUAUAGCUGAGUCCCAGCUUUCAAAAUUCACACUCAUCUGAAUUUUGCAAGCCAGUUGUCUUACCAAAGAAUGUCCACACAAAUGCAUAUAUUAGGGAGACGUGUACAUAAGCAUUAACACAUUAGCAAAAAUAACAUUCAAAAAUGCAUUAGAGGAAAUUGCUUUUAAAAUGUGCACAUCAGUCAAAACUGCAUUCAGAAUGUGUUUAUUCAGAAAAAUUUUCACUGAAAUGCUAAUGAAUUUUCAUGGAGAGUUUUUUUUUUUAAUGCAAAUUGCUGCAGAAAUGUCAAGAAUUGAAUUUAGGGUUGGAAAAGUAAAAAUUAAAAUUGACAGGUCCUUCAAUCUCUAUUUGGCAAUAAUCUCUAUUGAACUCAGUGGGGCUUAUUUCUGAUUUGAUUUGCAUAUGAUAUGAUUGCUCUCAGUUCCCAACCUUCCCCCCCCCCCCCAACACCCCAGCAAGGGCACCUUCUACACUUCAGGUAUGCUUUCAAACAAAGCAUAUCUGAGUUUUAUCAAACAUUAUUAAAAGAAAGAAAAGUAUUCAUGUAUAAAAGAAGUUUCUCUUGUAUUUCAGGUUUAUAAAUAAGCUCGCAUAGAAUGGCAACAUUAUAUGCCUAACAAGCCUGCUUCAAUCAUUGCACUUUCUUUGGAGCGUAUUUUAAUAUUGCAGAUCUCAAAUAAAAUAAGCGGCUUGAGAAACCGUCUGCCCAUUCUUUAAAAGCGUCUGCUUUUCUGUAAAUAUUCUACUUCUGUACGCCAUAAUGGUAGCCCUCCGUGAGUGGGAAAAGGUAGCAUUUGUGGUGUGAUGGUAUUCAAAUACACUGCUGAGAUUAAUGUUUUCUCAGAACAAAAUAUCAUAGAUUUGUUUUCCCUGAGACAAUAGCACAUCCAUCAUGAAAUACUUACUCCCCAAGUGGGCAUAAUGAUUGCAAACUAGUCAGUUUGCUACAGCUAUCCUCUGGCAGCUCUUUGGGGUCCAACACCCUGGCAGGGUCUACCACUGAUGCCCACCCCCUUUAAAAAAACACAUUCCAAUCAGUGCUGGGCAUCUGGGUCUGGGAGAUGCCAGUUUAAUUUUCCAGAAUGUCCCCAAUGUAGCAUCACCAUGGAGCACUGUGGCAAAUUUAAAUGCUCCACGUGCCUUGGGCUGAUUCAGACAGCUACUGCUAGACUAGCCCUCCAGAAUCUCUGUUUCCCUUUUACCUUAAACAUUUGCACCUGCAAAUAAAUUCCUUUACAAUAUUACCAGAUCUAUAUUAGGUACCCAUCUCAAAAUGCAAAAUACAACUUUCCCCCACUUCAUCUAAUUAAUAACUUGGGGGAAAGGGGGGGAGGGGGGAGCCUACAGUAUUGCGUUGGUACAGCUGAGCUUUCUACAAACAUCUUCAAAAUCUCAUCACUAGAUGGCAGCGACCUUCACAAAUUUCCAAUCAAUGAAAUCUUUAUACGAACUCAACAUAUGAGCCAGCCUUUUGCAUUUCCCUUAUUAAAUGCUGAUUAGUGCCUAAUGUGGAUGUUUUGUUUCCAUCCGCAAAUACUAUUCACUCGGAUUCCUCACAAUAUUACCAAACCAUUUGUCAGGAAAUUAAAUAGGCAGGUUUUCAAGAUAUGCCUUUUAGAAAAUGAAUAUUUGCACGCAGGCAAAGCGUCGCCUUCAUUUAAAGUAGAGUUCUGCAGCAAACUUAAGGAAAACUUCUAAACAGCUUCUAGCUGAUUUUGGUUAAAUGGAGAAUGUGCAUACAGACCAGCCGUUGUGCACAUUUAUCCAAAAGUGGAUAAUGUGUACAAAUGAGAAUGGACAAAGGUCAGGGACUAUGCAGACCUGCUGAUCAUCAAUGGUACCAUAUUUUGCACAUUGCCUGUUGCACAAAUUCAUAUUCUCCAUUUGGAGACUAUGGGCAUUAGCUGGUCAAUGUGUGUAAUAUAUUGUCCAACAUGAUGUGAGGUCUAUGCAUAUGAAUCAGACAAUGUGCACAGUUCUCUAUUCCUGAUGUCCAUGAAUGAGCAUAACAGACCAUUUUUAUGCACAUUCUCUAUUAAACUCACAUCAAUUAACCCAUUGUAAAGGAAUGAGCUGUUGGAAAGUGCCCAAAGAUUUUUUUUUAAAGCACAAUAUACAGUAAGCAUCACUUAAACCAAAGCGAUGGAUUGAAGAAUUAACCAGAUUAGUUGAGCCCUAGAUACUAGUGAGUCCAAUGCUCAAGAAGGUGGUUUCUGCACAUGCUGUAGAGCAGGGUCCCCCAAACUCAGCCCUCCAGAUGUUUUGGGACUACAAUUCCCAUCAUCUCUGACUACUGGUCCUGUUAGCUAGGGGUGAUGAGAGUUGUAGUCCCAAAACAGCUGGAGGUCUGAAUUUGGGGAUGCCUGUUGUAGAGGGAAGUAAAAGACACAUGGGACUCCUCAACCUGGGAAGGUAGCCCAUCUAGGAGAAAGAAAACUGAUCCUAAACCUCCUCUGCCUUGCAGGAUAUCUUCAGAAGAAGAAAAGGCUAAGGAGUAAACCCUACACCAAUCCGGAGUGGAAUUGGAUGGCCUUUGUACAUUCCCUUCUGGCAACUCCUGGUGCCAAAUGUACUGUCCUGCUUUCCUUUGGACCACAUUAAUGAAGUCAAGAGGGGGUUCUUAUUGUCUGGGCAGCCCAGAACCUCUGCACACACUGCCAAGGCUUCCUCAACCUUGGCCCUCCAGAUGAUUUGAGACUAGAAUUCCCAGCAUCCCUGACCACUGGUCCUGCUAGCUAGGGAUCAUGGGAGUUGUAGGCCAAAAGCAUCUGGAGGGCCGAGGUUGAGGAAGCCUGGCCUAGGGCUUGCACCUGAGGUCACGUCAGUGCUGCUAGCACAGCCAUUUGACUUCACCCCCAGAGGCGCACUCCAUUGUCUCUUGAGAUAGAUGGAUGCCAACAACAGAUGCUAGGCAAGGAGGUUCACUGCACAGGGGAAGAAGAGGAAGAAUAAGUAUAUCUGUCUCUACAAUUGAAUGUCUGGUGUUAUAAAGAGUUCCAGGAAGGAGGACAGAUGAUGGUACAUAUGGCAUGGAAAGGAAGGGGCAAAAUAAGAGAUACUGAGACAGAACAAGACGAGUCAGAGCUGAGGCUAGGCUCCUGCAAGGCUACGCUAAGGUGCAGUGAGGAAAGAUGAGCUGAAGGCAAACAAAUCUGAACAAAAACAUAGCCAAGAGCACAGAGAUGUUUAGUAAUCGAUAGUAUGCACCAAAUCGUGUUGCCCCCAGUGAAUACAUCUGCCUGAUGCUCAAGUCACACACCUCUAUAAUUAAAAGUUGGGUUUAUCUCUCCACUCCUUUCAGGUCAUGAUUAUUGAUAGAUGGGGGAAACAAUUAGUGAUUAAUUCCAGAUAAUUACUGGCAAUUACUCUAGAUUAAUAAAUCAGGAGUAAAAGGUUGAAUUGUAUGUACAUAGUACUGAAUGGUGGCGCUUGUAAAUUCGACCUAUACAAUUUAUUAUCGCGAUCCUCUUUAAUAAUGAACUUGCAUGUUUGAGUGAUUGCAAGUGAAACAGGGCCACCCAAAAAUAAGAAAGGGGUUUCUACAUCCUUGUGGGAGCUCUCUAGGUACACAAAUUGUGCAAACUAAUAAAUUGAAAGGGGGGGAAAAACUAAACAAAAAGAGGUUGCAGUCUUUCAGGACCCGAGAGCUUCCAGCACUUUUUGGAAUGUUUAGGGCAUAUCAAUUAUAAAAGUCUAGAGCAACUCAUAUUCUGGAGUGGGGGCAUCCAUAUUCACACUGAAUGCUACUUUUUGCUUGGCGUGAGACACCCUCCCUAUCACGUCCACACAAAAACCAUGCAUCUCGCCAUCCCUUUGCCAUGGACAGAUCUCCCAUUUGCUCCAGAAAAAGGAGGGGAAAGGGUUUAAAUGAAUUGGAAUACUUGCAGAUGUGGGUGUUGCAAGUCAGUCUUGAAUUAAGGGCAGUUGAGUCAUAGUAUGUUUAAAGUGUCGGCUGAAGAAGGAAAUAUGAAAACAAAGAGAGGAUUCUGGGCUGCUUGAGCUCCUAACAUCUUCGGCUAUACUUCUCUCCACCCCACUUCUCAAAUUUGUUGUUGUGGUUGUUGUUGUUGUUGUUUAAAGGAACAGGGUCAGCACUGACAGUCCUGAUAUUGAUACCUUCUGAAGAGCAGGAGGUGGUUUGAGGAGGAUGACAAAGAAAAAAAUGUCUCUUCUUAUGAGCACUAAGCCAGGUGUGGAGAACUUUUUGCCCUCCAAGCUGUUGCUGAGCUACAAUGUCCAUCAGCCCAGGGGAGUAGCGUGGGAAGGGCCAGGGGAGCUGUAGCCCUGGGCACAUGAUUUUGAGGGGGUGUGAGCCAGGCACACCCAUGCAGAAAUCCCUGCCCUGUCUGCCGCUGGGGGUGGUGUCUCUGGACAGUGUUGGGAAGAUGCACCUGCCAAGGGCAGCCGGCUGGGCUCUCACCUGCACGGGCAGGCAGGCAGGUGGCACAGUGCGGCCCCAUUAACCCUCUGUGCCCUGUGCCCGCUGGGCUGACACAGUGGGUUUUGUUCAGCCCCAGCAAGCAUAACAGCCAGAGCUGAUGGGAGCUGUAGUUUGAAACAGUUGGUGGACCAGAAUUUUCCUACACCUGCCCUAAGGAGUGCUAUGCUAUGAGGUUCUUGUUUCAUAAUAGCUGGAGCUCUGAUCAGGAGUACUCCUGUUAGGAGCUGGGGAGACACAGCGCCAUAGGGACACACAUAAGUCCCUAUUCACUCCCUCUAAUGCCAAAUGUGAGUGGUCUGGUGCCACCCAAAAAUAAAAGGAGUGUAAGGGAACUCUGUAGGAAUUUAUUGCUUUUUAAAAAUUAAAAUAAAAAGAAAUGUUUAUAACCUCCAAACAUAUCCAACAAAAAAACCUAUACCAAGUGACUUCCAAGAAAACAUUGAAGGAAGCCGAGCCACAGAAUGCCAGCAGCAGGUACUUCCAGAUGGGGCUAAUGUUAAAAUUGGGUCACUCAGAUACAGUGGUACCUCAGGUUAAGUACUUAAUUCGUUCCGGAGGUCCAUUCUUAACCUGAAACUGUUCUUAACCUGAAGCACCACUUUAGCUAAUGGGGCCUCCUGCUGCCGCCACGCCGCUGCUGCACGAUUUCUGUUCUCAUCCUGAAGCAAAGUUCUUAACCUGAGGUACUAUUUCUGGGUUGGUGGAGUCUGUAACCUGAAGCGUAUGUAACCUGAAGCGUAUGUAACCCGAGGUACCACUGUAUCACAAAGAGUCCACUGGCAAUAGAGGUUUGUUUCCUAAUAUAUUGAAUUUCCUUUGGAAGAGGAAAAUCUAAAUUGAAUUGGGUGGGGAUGGGAGAAAUAUCAGCUGGCAUUUUGAUGGCAAGAAUGUUGCGUGAACCCUGCGGGGGGAAGAGAAACAAGUAUGUGGAACAUCAACCUCAAAAUAAAUACAGUGGUACCUCGGGUUACAGACGCUUCAGGUUACAGACGCUUCAGGUUACAGACGCUUCAGGUUACAGACUCCGCGGACCCAGAAAUAGUACCUCGGGUUAAGAACUUUGCUUCAGGACGAGAACAGAAAUCGCAUGGCGGCGGCAGCGGGAGGCCCCAUUAGCUAAAGUGGUACCUCAGGUUAAGAACAGUUUCAGGUUAAGAACGGACCUCCAGAAUGAAUUAAGUUCUUAACCUGAGGUACCACUGUGCUGGCCUGGAAGCAGAACAUGUAAGAUGAAGAAAUGGAGUGGGUUUAUAGAGUCCUGGAGGGAGGGUUAGAUUGUGUGUGUUUCCAUGCAUGCAUGCACGCAAGGGCAACACAUCUCAUUUCAGCACCUGAGGCGAGACAGGAAUGUGCCGCUUCCCCGCCCCUGCCGCCCCGCCACCAGCGCCGCUCCCUCUCUUACUUGCGUUGCACAGCAGCACCCAUGAGAAGCCAGCAGCAGCACUGGUUUCUGGCGAGAUCUCACCAAAAUCUCGCAAGAUCUUACCAGAAACUGGUUCCCACUGGCAGCAGAGACAGCAGAGUGGGCAGCAGAAGCAAGGGGGGUGCCGUUCCUUGGGCUUCUGCCACUCAAAGCAGGCUCCUCACCUUGCCUCAUCACUGGGCUGGGCCUAGGUGUGUGCAUGUGUGCGUGCAUGACAUGUGUUGUAAACAAAAAUUGCCCUUUUCCCUUAUGGGGUAUCCAAGAGCCCAUAUAGAGUCCUUACAUAGGUUCCCUAUUGGUAGGAGAAAAUAACAGAGGCCAACCAGAGAAUAUUGAGAAGCAAAGCAGCUAGUAAGCUUGAUCUUUAUUGAUCUGUUGCAACAGGGUGCUCCCCUCACACGCAGGAAAGGAGGAGGACCCAGAAAAAUGGUGUGCAAGGCCUUAUAAAGACUUUUGAAAUUGCCACCCUGUAGAUCAGGACCACCCCCAGAAACAUCAUACAUACAUCACAGAAGGGGUGUAACCUAAGACCACCCCUCAGAUACAUCACACCUACAUCACAAAAAAGGCGGUCCAAAAUAGAAAUUUUAAUAUUGUUUUUCUCCUGUUUUUGUUUAUCUCCUGUCUGGCAGGUUACUUGAUUGGAUUUCCUGGGUAGCCUGGCCAGUCUUUUGUAAUGAUAAAUACUUAGUUCCUGGGCCAGGUCACAGGCUCACACCUUAUUCAAACACAGACAGGAUUUGUGAAGGAAAAAACAAUGGGGAGGCUUUUCCAUUUUGACCUUGCAGAGAGUCAGUUUAGGAAUCAAAAUGGUUCCAGGUUGGCCUUCCUGUGCUGAUCUAUGUAUUUGCUUGGUUGGUACACUUAUGAACAUUACCAUAUAUCUAAGACCAUAAAAUUCCUAUUACACAUGAGAUUCUAAAAACUCUCUUCUCUGCACCAUGUGGGGAGGUUUCUAGAGGAGGAAAACAAAAGAGGACAACUUUGUUCUCCUUGCUCCCCAAAACUCUCUCCAGCACAUCCUACAUAACACCAGGGAAAGGGGGUGGGGAGUUUCUGAAACAGAAAAGGAAACGAUCUUAUUUUUCCCUCCUCGCUGCCAAAACUCUCUGCCCAAGCCCUGAACUCCAGAUUUGAACACUUGUUUGUUUUAGACUAUUUAUAACCACUGCUUUUUUCUGGGGGGAUGCAGGAGUAUGCAUACCCCUAAAUAUUUUGUGAAUCUAAGUUUGGCGUCCUUGAGGGGCAGUAUUUCAAUGUGUGGAGGAAAAUGAGAGUGCCCCUAAACAUUUUUUAAAAGGAAAAACAAGCAGUGUUUAUAACCAACUUUAGGGGGAUAUAAAUAGAGAGGCUUCCAAAAAACUUCUCACAAUAAAAAGGAUGCUGACAGAAAUGUCCCACAGAGGUCCUCUGAUGCAAAGGAGCGGGGUUGAGCAGCUGGGUCUCACUCAGAAAAUCAAAGAGGCCAGUCAACCCUUGCUGGUAGUUAGCAUUGCCAGACAACAGCUCACACGGAGGCUGUAGGAUGCGCUGCAACAUUUUGUUGCCAAUUCCUAGUUGUGACUUAAUAUUUAUACUGAUUUGUUAUUUAUAAUGACCAUUUAUGUAGCACCAGCAAUGCCCAAUGGCACCUUAUGGAGGACAAGCCUCAAGGUAAAGGUAAAGGUAAAGGUAAAGGGACCAUUAGGUCCAGUCAUGACCGACUCUGGGGUUGCGGCGCUCAUCUCGACUUAUUGGCCGAGGGAGCCGGCGUACAGCUUCCAGGUUAUGUGGCCAGCAUGACUAAGCCACUUCUGGCGAACCAGAGCAACACACGGAAACGCCGUUUACCUUCCCGCUGGAGCGGUACCUAUUUAUCUACUUGCACGUUGAUGUGCUUUUGAACUGCUAGAUGGGCAGGAGCAGGGACCAAGCAACAGGAGCUCACCCCGUCGCGGGGAUUUAAACAGCCGACCUUCUGAUCGGCAAGUCCUAGGCUCUGUGGUUUAACCCACAGCGCCACCCACGCCCCAGCCUCAAGGUACAUACCAUCAAAAAUAUGACACAGGAGGAUUUAAUGCAACAUGUUCAAAAUCAAUGCACAGGAAAAAGCAAAAGAAAGAGAGUCAAUUGAACUCUACACAAAGGGUUUAACAAGGUGCUCAGGCAGUGGUGCAUAAGAAAAGAAAUGCAGUGUUAACGCUGAACCUGCUAAUUUUCUUAUUGACACCUGUAUAAGUAACUUAUAGAUGUUUUGACCUCAGAGAAGCUACUCUGCCUUCAUACUGAUUUAACACCCUGAAUUGUGAGCCCAGAGAAAAGGGAAGCUGUAAAAUUGAACCCUGCUUUAGAAAAUGGAAUUGCAUGUUAUUCAUCAAAAAACGGUCAGAGGCAGAGAAAAGACAAAAUCAAGUUCAUAAGUUCAGUUUCUGGGAUCAGAGAGGCUGAUUCACAGAGGUUAAGUACAGUUUAAAAAUCCAUAAAAUUGACUUUUCAGAAACCUUAGCACUGCUUGAUGUUCAUAAAGCAAAUAAGAACACAGCAUAUUUUUAAUCAGUAGCCCUCAAAUCUCUAAGACAGAAAUAAGACUGCUUCUCUUCUUUUCUCUGCAGGCAGAGUAAUUCAUACAUUCAUACACAAGAGGGAGUCUCUCUUUUCAAAUAAAUAAUUGUUUAUGCGAUACACAGUCUGCCUUGCGUUUUGAUACAGACAGUCAAUGGAGAUUGCCCUGUAAUUUUGUGCUUUUUAUUUCCAACAAUAACAAUACAGAAGUGAUAAUAACAGAACAGAAGCUGUUUUGAUUUUCUUCCUCAUUCAGCUAAUCUGCAGGGUUUAUUAACCGAUGCUGAAGUUUGGGGAGAUGAGUUAGCAGCACAAUUCCAUACAAGUCUAUUGAGAAAUAUGUGCCAUUGAUAUCAGUGGGACUCACCCCCAGGUAAGUGGGUAUAGGAUUGCAGCCUCAGAUAUGCAAAACCGACUGGUUGCUGCAUUUUAGCGGACUAGCUUGAUUUGAGAAAGACCAUCCAAGAUCAGGCCUGCCAACUGAGGGAAGGCACGCAUAUACCUUUAAAUCAACAGAAGUAUAGUCUCCAGAUCGAGGGAAGUAAUAAUGCCAUUCUUAAUUUUUCUCCUGCAGUUUUCUCCUGCUCUGAAACCAAUGGCUUAAAGUUACAAGAAAGGAGAUUCCGACAGGAAAAACUUUCUGUCAGUAAGAGCUGUUUGGCAGUGGAACGUUCUCCCUCAGGAGGUUGUGGACUCUCCUUCCUUGGAUGUUUUUAAGCAGAGGUUGGAUGGCCAUCUGUCAUGGAUGCUUUAGCUGAGAUUCCUACAUUGCAGAGGGUUGGAGCAGAUGACCCUCAGGAUACCUUCCAGUUCUACAACUCUAUGAAACCUGGAAGGACAGAGAUCAAUGUCUGACAAGCAAGCUAUGUCAUCACAUUUGUAAGCAGCCCUUUGCACAAGGAACUCAAGAUGGUGUGUGCUCCGUAACUCUAUGGAGAAUCCCAAGUACCCCUUCCAAAGGCAGCUCCCAGUUCCAGCCAACCAGCCACAGCUAGCAACUUAGGUUGACUUUGGACGUAUCUUCUAAAAGCACAAAGAAAUGCAGAGGUGGGGGAGAGUGAAAGGACUCCAAGCAGUAUUGAAGAGACCUUAGGUAUCCCAGAAUGCAAGCUUUUUUGUAUGGACAGGCCUUCACCCACCAGUCUUUGUUUGACAGAAUGAGAAAGUAGCUAAUUCUCAGCUCUACUCGCAAUAUGGAUUACUUACAAAGACUGGUGCAAAUAUUUCCAAGCCCUUAAACAGAUAGUGCCACAGGCACAAAAACAGAUAACGCUCGAAUUAUCUUGUAUACAAUGCAAAUGCAGCUAAGGCAGAGGCAAUCUCAUGCAGAACUUGAACGCAACAAGGAUUGAUUUCCACUUGGUCUUUGCAUUCUUACCAGGACUGCCAAAGUUCCAUCUGAAUUCAGUAAUGAUUUUUGUGAGUUUCAUCAGCGCCUACAGUAGCAGCUCUCAAACCAUUCCCCUUAUGAAGAUUGUGCCUUUGUUUUAAAGCUUCCUUUUCACUUGGACUGAAAAAUCACUUCUCUCCAGGGCAUCAAGCAGCAUUUCCUCCACCAUCUAGUCCCAGAAACUUGACACUUUACCUGCAACCCUUUGAUGGCCCACCAGGCCUGUCACAGACCUUUAAUUCAGGAGUCCAAGAAUAUCUGAAGGGCCACAGGUUCCCCACCCCUUAUUUAUCUAAAAAAACAAGACCAUCUUAUUUGUCUAGAACAGCUAAACAACAAGGAAUAUGUAUGUAGGGUUUUCAUUAUAUGCGCAAGCUUUUUGUUUCAGUGAACAAAAAGUCAGUCCAAGUUCUGCAUAAGGGCUGCUUCUGAUGUCUUAAAGAGAAAACAGUCCCCUUCAGAGCUGCCGUGGCUAGAGUCUAGACCUUUCCAUUGUAGAGAAAUCAGGGAAAGUGCAAACAAUGUUUUACCCAAUUGCUCACUAGUAAGUAAUAGAAACAAAUCACUUUUAACAGUUCCAAAGUACCUGUGUUUAUAUGCUGGCUGUUAUUCGGUGACUCGCAUGGCCACCAUGUCCUAUCAGAACAACAUUUCCUGUUAUAGUCCUGGUCCUCUUGCAAGAGAUGAAUGCUACAGGAGGUUUCCAAUUAACCUCCUAAUGACUUUAUGAUCAGGGGAUGGGAAUGCACCCACUAGCCACUUCCCUCCCAUACUAAUAUGUCUGUUGGCCAUGUAUUAACAUACAGAAAGGAGCUGUGGACACACAUGUAGGUCUUCUUCAUCUGGUCAUGAAUGCUCAUUUGCUAGACUUUCCCAAUCAGGUGGAGGAGUCCACAGACCUACGGCAGAAUGUGCAUAUUAUGUCCCUUUUCUUACUAAUGUCAAAUGUGCAGAGCUGCUAUGGGCAUGUUUUCAGCAUGUGAAGUGGAUGGCCAGAAGAUGGCCUGUUUCCACUACCCCUUCAUACCACUGAAUGUGUGAGGGGAAUCGUUGGAACCUCCUUUAUAUGCAAAUAUAGUGUGAGACCACUCAUACACAGAGGACAUGGUUCUUUUGAAAGAAAUGGGACUUAAGGUAGAAAAAGAGGCACCGGAACUUACCGUGAAGACCUCCCUCAUUCUCUUAUAAUGGCAAUGGCGCCUACCUGAGAGGUGCCAGAAUCGAAUUCUGGAGAGUUCAGGCUGAAUAGGACCACAGUCACAACUGGGGUUAGAAUUAGGCUGGAAAGAAGACAUUGGGAGUAAGUAUCUGUUCUCUCAGUACAUUUAUGUACCCUCCAGGUUUGCUGCAUUCAAUGUGUUGGGAGAAUAUUAUAUACUGAGAGAUGAAGGUGUCUUAUCUGAGUGCGCCAGUGUCAUUAAAAUGUGACCUGAGGAAAUGGCCCUCAUUUCGUGUUCUCUAUUCAUACGUGUGUGUUUUCCCCCCUGCUUUGAAGCAAGGUGAGAACGUGGAGCUGGAACAGGAAAGUCGUAAUGUAUAGAUGUUUUGUGCUAAUACAAAGGGAAAGGUUAUCAUCUCUCAGCUCCUUCUCACAGAGUGCUGGGAAGAAAAACGAGAUAAGAAUUCUAAAGCUCUUUGCGCAUUGAAAAAAGGCAGCAGAAGUAUAUUUCAUAAUGGUAAGGUUAAGAAAACGCAUCACGUUUGUCUAGAGGGCCCUAAUAAAACGCCUGCUUUUUCUCCCAAGCUGGAGCACUUAAAGUAUGAGCAUUAGAGGAACAAGAAAGUCAGUCUGCAUUUCACCAUAAUAACAACAUUCUUUAAGACCCUUUCAGGGAAAUUCUAUCCCAAAGCCUGUCAAAGAUUUGCAAUGAACUGACAUUACAUGUGGGCAGUCUCCUGGCUGGGGAGGGGGGGACCACCAAUGCUCAUUUUCAGCCCAUCACUCAAUCUUGGGGGAGGGAGGGAGAGAGAAACUCUUGCGGAAAUCCUAAAAGCAGGGGGUCAAGAGGAGGUUGCAAUAGCAAUGAAAAUAUGAAUGGAACCAAAUAUUAAUGGUUCUUCUGGCUCAAUUGUGGUCAUUUUGCGUUGAAAGCUUCUGUACUGUUUCAACCUUCCUAACAGUCAACGUCGAUUAACAUAGCCAUUCAGUAAAAAGCAAGGGAGAGAGGUACAUAAUGAGCACCUGCCUGCACACGUGGAAAAUGGAAACUCUUAACGCUAUUUCACUUCUCUGUACCAAGCGGCAAGUCGUUAUUGUAAAAAUGCAAAUGCCCUCUGUGAAGCACUGUUUCAUUCUGGUGUUUCAUUCUGCCUUAGGUAUUCCAUUCUCUUCCACCUAAAGGGCAUUUGAAGACGACAAGGGGGCUAGUAUUACAUGGAAGGGGCUAAUUCUGCAGAAUAAUAUUAAGAGAAUGAGCUUGCAAAUGCAAGUCGGGCUAAUUCUCCCUGAGAUGGAAAACCUGUGUCUGUGGUCUGUGUACCACAUAAGUGCUGGGUGACUCAUGCAAUUAAAUCUUCCUUAAACAAAACAAACAAACAAAAAUUUCCCAGAUAGAAAAUGAGAAAUCAAGGGCAAAGGAUUCUAUCAAAAUCAUUUAUUUUAAAUGCUAGUUUUCUAUGCUCAAUCAUCGUUAUUGCUUGUGUCUGCUGGUUCGUGCAGGGGUGCAUUCAGGUAUGUGAAUUGCCACCACUUGUGGUCAGCAUUUAGCUGAUAAUGCGAAAUAACUCCCCCAAAUGAAUUAGGUCAUCUAAGACUCUCUGCGUUAGUCAUUCACUUACUCUUUUUGGGGGGGAAAUAGAAGCCACGUUUGUAGAGCUUCUCUGUCUGGUUGCCUGGAGAAAACUAUCAAGUCACCACAGGCAAGCAGAAACAUGACUAUUUGCCAGCCUUAAUUUAGGGAAUUGUGCAGGUCAGGACAGAGGUAAUUAGAACUUCGCAGGUAGUGGGUGUAAAGCACAGUAAAAUCUGAAAUCUACCAAAUUUUCAGACCCCCAGUACCUGUCACCUGAAACACAAUUUUUCAGCAGUCAAACUCAUGAAAGACAGCAUGUUGACAACCCUACAUGAAAUGGUAAGAAGAAUAUGAAGUAUGGUUUUAAUUUGCUACAGGGAACGAAAGCUCUUCGUGCUGGCAUGACUCAAGAAAGCUCCAAAAGUAAUGUUUCCUCUUUGAUCAAAUGGCAGCAAUGCGCAUGAAACAUUUCACAAGAGUGAAUCACUAUAAUUCAAAGCACCUAUGACUUUGAGCACCAGAUGCCCUUUGGAGCUCAGACUUGAGAUUCGGUAGCCUCUAGUCACAUAGCAAACAUCUUUUGAAAUUGAAUGGGGAGGAGUAGGGAAAAAGAGGGGGGGGUGGGAGAGACAGUGAUGUGGCAAAUAAGCCCAAAACUGAAAGAAAAGUGAAAGAUUCUCUGGGCACAAAUGAGACCUUGCUUUAGCCUAAAGUAGUUCUCUGGAUCCUGGCCAAGUUCAGCCAAUGAGAAAUGUAUACAAGCUCUCAGCUAGAAGAGCCUUGCUUGCAAAACAUGUGCAUAAGUAUCAGGCACCACUGUAAGAGUUGGGAACUGUCAUGACCAGGACAACAGGUCAUACAGCUGCUGCAUCCCCACGCCACUCUCCCCGAGUGGCCUUGAAAGGCUCAGAUCCGGGGAAGGCACUGCAAGAAGGGCGCAACAGUCAUGCACCUCUCAAAGAUGAGGCUGGGAUCGAAAGGCGCAUGGCUGUGGCCCCACUCCCUACAUGGUCGCCCCCAUGAGCAGCCUUGCAAGGCUGGGAUCUGGCAAGAGCAGCGCAAGAAGGAUGCAACAGUCAUGCGCCCCUUGAUCCCAGCCUCACCUUUACUGGCAAGUCUGGGAUAGAAGGGCUCAAGGCCACCCUCUCAUAGCACCCUUCCUGAGCUGCUUUGCAAGGUCUUGGGGAAGGCAGCAGGGGCAGUCAUCCCAACAGCCCCACCACCACACUCUAUGCCCCUUGUAGCAAAAGGAGGAGAAGAGUGAGAGGAAGCUGUAUAUGUGAUUUUAAUAAGCACAUUUGCUGGGCAACCACCAGGUAGAUGGUCUUUUCAGUAGCUAGUUAUGCAAUAGCCUUUUCCAAGGAGGCUCACCUGGUUCCAACCUCUGUGGUCUUUUCAGUGCCUGGUGAAGACUUUUCUACUCAACUAGGCUACUCCCUAACUAAGCAUAUCUCCACCCAUCUUAAACCGUUCCCCGUCAGCCAAAGAUGACCCACCAAUUCAAACAAUCCAAUUCCGGAAUGUAAAACAAGUGUGGAAAUAAGUUAAAGUCAUGAGUGUUUUAGAAGUACAAAUGAAACAGAAUUUACAUGAUAAUGAUUCAUCCAAGUUGGCACUGCUUGUUCAAAGUGAAGCCAUCGCUUGAAUUGUAAGUGGCACUUCCAUUGUGGGUUAAUAAUCAGUCUCUGCUAUCAUCAAAGGAAUUAUUAGUAUGGGGGACAGCCAGUCAAGGUUGGGGUGGGCAGAAGGAUAUGUUGGCAGUUUGCAAAUAUUUGAUAGGACCUCGGAUAGGAGAAGAAUAGCAAGUGCUGACUCGGUUUCAGCGUUGGGCAAUAGUUUAACUAGUUGUUUACUACCUGGGCAUAAGAAAAGCCUGGUGGAUAAGGUCAAUGGCUCAACUAGUCCUUCAUCCUGUUCUCACACUGGCCAACCAGAUGCCUAUGGGAUGCCAGAAAGGAGGACCAGAGCAGAGCAGCUCUCUCCCUGCUUGUGAUUUCCAGUUCAACAAACAGCAGAGGCAGAACAUAGCCAUUGAUAGUCUUACCCACUAUGAAUUGGUCUAAACUUGUUGUUUACUUUACAUGUAGUUGAAUGACAAUUGCAACUACUUUCAGAAAAGUAGUUUAAACUAUGUUGUAGUGGAGGCUGAAGGGACACGGGUGGCGCUGUGGGUUAAACCACAGAGCCUAGGACUUGCUGAUCAGGAGGUCGCGGUUCAAAUCCCCGCGACAGGGUGAGCUCCCGUUGCUCAGGCCCUGCUCCUGCCAGCCUAGCAGUUCGAAAGCACAUCAAAGUGCAAGUAUAUAAAUAGGUACCGCUCCAGCGGGAAGGUAAACAGUGUUUCCGUGAGCUGCUCUGGUUCUCCAGAAGCGGCUUAGUCAUGCUGGCCACAUGGCCCGGAAGCUGUACGCUGGCUCCCUCGGCCAGUAAAGUGAGAUGAGUGCCGCAACCCCAGAGUCGGCCAUGACUGGACCUAAUGGUCAGGGGUCCCUUUACCUUUACCUUUAGUGGAGGCUGACAGAGCUCGGUAGGGCUAAAUGGCUGGACACCUCUGCCACACAGAGGCAUAUCUAGGGUCCCUUGGACCCUUGGCAAGGAGCUAUAUUGGCAUCCCCACUCCAAAAAAAACACAACAAACCUGUGGGAAUGUUCAGGGAUGCAGGAGAGGAUAUAUUGUUUGAUUAUAUCCUUUCAAACGUGUGUUAACAAGUUCUACAAUUUAGCAGAGUAACAUUCCCCUUUUUAAAAUUGCACAGCGGAACUAAGAACUUGUCAAGAAUGUAUAACUUGCUGUUGAAAUGGAAUACUCAGGAUGAAACGGUGAAAUCAACUAUGAUUAAAUGGGCAUAAGAUGUAGGACAUAAUAUUACGAUGGCUGACUGGGAACAGUUAUGGACCACAGGUAUGAAGUUUACGGCAUGUAACGCCUUAAGAGAGAAUAUAAUGAAAAUGAUUUACAGGUGGUACAUGACACCAGUCAAGCUCGCAAAAAUAUAUCACUUGCCCGAUAAUAAAUGUUGGAAAUGUAAAGAGACUGAAGGUACAUUUUUUCACCUUUGGUGGACGUGCCCAAGGAUUAAGAGAUUCUGGGAGAUGAUUUAUAAUGAAAUGAAAAAGGUAUUUAAAUAUACCUUCCUGAAGAAACCAGAGGCCUUUCUCCUGGGCAUGGUCGGCCAAUUGGUGCCAACUGUUAUGUAUGCCAUAACAGCAGCAAGAAUACUUAUUGCAAAGUACUGGAAGACACAAGAUCUACCCACCCGGGAAGAAUGGCAGAUGAAGGUGAUGGACUACAUGGAACUGGCGGAAAUGACUGGCAGAAUCCGAGACCAGGGAGAAGAGUCGGUGGAAGAAGAUUGGAAGAAAUUUAAAGUUUAUUUACAGAAACAUUGUAAAAUUAAGGAAUGUUAGAAGGAUGUUGGAAUGAAGUAAUGUGGUUUUAGCAGAAAUGCUAUAAAGGAUUAAGAAAAAACAGAUUAUUAAAUGGUGAAAGGAGGGAAAGUAAAGUUACAUUAUAUUAAGAUAAAUUAUAGGACAAAAACUGGAAGAGAUGGAAAGGACUUGCUGAAAUAGCUAACUGAACUAGAAUACAAAAAAGGGAGGUGUGAGGUGGUCAAGGAAACAAGCAAAUGAAAGAUAAGUUAUGGGAAGGUUCAUUGUAUUUUUUUUCAUUUUUUUCUAACUGUUUUUAUUUUUCUAGUUUUUUUUCCCCUUAUUGUGAUGUGAUGUUUUGUUUUUGCUUAAUAUGCUGUUUUCUAUUUUCCCUUUUUGUAACCUUUUAAAUCUUAAUAAAAAUUAUUUUAAAAUAAAAAUAAAUAAAUAAAUAAACUUGCACAGCGGAUGCAUUUGCUCAGGCUCACUAAAGCCUCUAAAAUACAUUUGGUUGGCAAUUUCCCCUUUAGUCCCUCAUAAAAAGAUAGACACGACACAGUCUUCUAUAAAAGUAUAAAAAGAGUUUACUCAGUCACAAUCUGUUCACAAAUGGAUCCCAGAAGGCAGACUUAAGUUACAAAAGUAAUAUACCUGGAAUCUAUCCCAUAAAGAGACAGUCCCUUUGUCCUCUCUUGGCUGGAAGCUAAGAGAGCAUCUUAGGCUAAGCAGAUGUUGCUUCUUUGACGAAUGUAGUCAGAGAGAGAGAGAUGGCUGACUAGUCCUGCUCUUUUGUUACCUGGGCAGGUGAGGUCACGCCCACCUCUAGUCACAUGCAGAGGAAGUCUGUCCCAGCCUAGGAAAAACAGGAAGUUCUGACUGGCUGGUCAAGACAUCCCCUUUUAUGUUCACUCCAGGGAUGUUGUACUUGACUGCUCUUGUGUUUCACAUCCCACAAAACCCUUUUCCACAACAGCCACAUUAUUUGUCUAAAAAUUACUGCGAAAACGACAUUAAUGACUGUCAAUUUAGUUGCGAAUGCUUUCGUUUCAUUGAUUAAAUGUAGCAUGUACGGUAAUUUAAUGGUGUAAAUAAUAAAGUAUAUAAAUCAAUUAGACAGUAAAUCAAUAUACACUAUGAGCACAAAUCAGUUACCACUAUAAUACAUGGGCUAAAUGUAUUAACUUAACCCUGGAUUACUAACCCUGACUAAAACUUACAUUGUAACUAACCCAUCAUAUUUGUUACAACUUGAGUAACCUUUUUUAAAAAACUUUUCCCCCCCUAUUCAUGUUUAUUGGGGGAGGAUUACAUGAUCUACUAUGGAAUAGUAUGGGGAUGCAGGAUAAAAUAAAUAAAGGCCGAUCUAAUUUCAUUACUUAUAUAUUUACGUUUAGGAAAACAUUAGCUUUCUAAAUGCACUAUCAGAUGUAUCAGAUGGCUUUUUAGGUCCCAUGUUGUUUUAUACCAUUUUAUUACACUUUAUACACUGCACAAUACUGUACUCUGAACCGGCAUUGCAUGCUGACAUCUACAACAAUCAAAUACCACUGCUUUACAAAGGGACACACCUAUCUGAUCAUUUAGAAAAAGACAGUAUUGAGAUAUAUAUAUAGAUAUAGAUAUAGAUAUAGAUAUAGAUAUAGAUAUAGAUAUAGAUAAAAUGAAUGUGUGACAAGCAUUUGAAUCUCCCAAUAUCUCUAAAGGUGAUCUGAGGCUGACCAGCUUCCCAGUUGAUUGAUUAGCCUUCCGUUCAUGUAACAUAAUCCUCCCUGUCAACAAAAUCCAGCAUAAUCCAAUUUACUACUCUACAUUUAUAAGCGAAGAAAUCAAAGUACAUUCAGGUUCCAUAGUACCCAAAGGAGUGGGAGGCAUCAGGGUGAUCUCCUGACAGGUUUCACACAAUCAAUUUUAGCAGCUCUGGAGUGUUGAAGUUCUACCUAAUUUUCCCUGUCAUCUUGCAGGGCAUGAAAACCAAGUUCUGAGCUUCUUGUGUGUGUGUCAUUUCAGAACAAAGUCCGAUGCAAUGUAUCAUAAGGCACAAGGUGCUAAUGGGUGAGCAAUGAUGUGUUGACGGGCAGAUUCCAACAUAGUAGCACGCCCUGCUUCUGCAAAAGAGCUGGGUGCAAAGUUACUUGUGGAAUUGAAAGCAGUGGUUGGUGGCCACAGAACAUUCCGUUCAGGAGCUGGCAGCCCAAUGGCACCAAGUCGCAGCAUGGUUUCUCACCCCCUUCAGGCCUGCAUCCAUGGCAGGAGCUGGUUCUGCCAAUCCCUAGGUAUGUCCUUACUGCCCGAUCCAAACUGGCUCUAGAUGAGAAGUUUGGAUUGCUCUGUUAGCGCCCAUCAGUACUCUUAUCCACUUAUUAUUUGAAGCAUGCAAAGCGUGCCUUUCCUUAGUCAGACUCAAAGCCGCUAACAAGAGUAAAUUAAAGCAACUUUAACACACACACACACACACACACACACACACACACACACUGGUACCUCCGGUUGCAGAUGGGAUCCAUUCCAGAUGUCCGGCCGGAUCCCGAGGUUUUUGCAACCGGAGAGACCGCUUCUGCACAUGCACACAUGCACGGCAGUAGAGCACUUCAAAUAUGCUUCCGGGUUUGCCGCUUAUGUAUCCCGAAGUUUACGUAACCAGAGGGAUACGUAAGCAGAGGUAUGACUGUAUAUACUCAAAACUGCCAUAAAAUAAUAAAAGGGGAAUUAAUAGAGUAUUUCACAAACACACACUCACACAAGGUUAGGAAAGCAGGUGGAGUAACGCUGAAACAGUUUCCUGCCAUGACGCAUACAGAUGUUCAGGUGUGCUUUACAACACAGUGGGAGGCAGGACCUGGCGUCACCUGCCAGUCACACAUACAGCAAAUGUGCAAGGAAUGCAGCAUAAGUACAAGCGUGAGCAUGUGUGACACACACACACACACAUUCCUGACCAUUGGUCAUGCUGUCUGGGGUUGAUGGAAGAUGGAGCCCAACAACAUCUGGAAGGCAGUGCAUGAGCUACCACUGCACCAUUCCUGGGGUAAACAUCCAUCCGUCUUCACUGCCCAAGGAGAUUGAAUAUGCUGCUGGGAAGCGAUACAGGGAAGCAAGCUCUGUCUUCCCAGUCAGGGUGCAAGAAGGGUGAUAUUCAAUAGCCUUUGUAAUGGAUUUCCCCAUUGAGCAAAAGAACAGAAAUGUAUUCCCUUUACCUGGUUAUUCAAUGUAACAAGAUGGCAGAAAGAAAGAAAAACUAGUCAAAAGGUUAAUUUCAGUUCCUUGGGCAAUAUCUGGACUUGAAUUCAUACCAGCUUGAGCAAAGCAUUCAUGUCUCACCAGGUUAUCUCCUAUGAUAGCUUUCCUUACGUUUUUACUACCACAUUAUGCAAUUAUAAACUGCUAGACACCUAUAUAACUAUAUAGUAUUAAGUUUGCUUUUAAUUUUAUUUUUAGAAUUCAUACCAGCCUUUCAGGAGGACUGUCUCAGCGUGGCAUACCCUCCAGUUCCAUGAGAGUUUGAAGCUCACAGGGGAAGCAGGCAGUGCCAUGGCAAAGCAAAGGGCAGACAAGAGCAGGACCAUGGACAGCUCCAAGAGGAGCCUUGCUGAAUGAAACAUUCUUAUCCUAUGGCAAGGAUGCUAACUAACAGCAGCACGUCAUCAUCAUAGUCCAAAGGGAGGAGGGGUGGGAGUAAGUUUUUACCUGGUACCGAAAAAGAUGUCAGCAAAGGUGCCAGGCACCCAAGCUCACUGGGGAGAGCAUCUCAUGAAUAGAGCCACAACUGAAAAGGCCCUUUUAUUGUAUCAAGCCACCCCAAUCUACUUGCGACAUUGUACAUACACAAAUCUAUAUCGCCUUCUUGAGGAGUUGGAUAAUAGGUGGGUGGAGUGUGCCUUCCCUGUUUGGGGAAAGGGUCAUAGCUCAUGCUUUGCACACAGGUUCAAAUCCCUGAAUCUUCAGUUAAGAGGACUUGGGUAGUGUGACUGGAUCUCACAGAGCUUUUGAAGGAAAGCAGUGAAGCAACACCUGCCUUGCAUCCAGAAGGCCGAUGUAUCCCCACUUAAAAGAAUCUAAGCUGCAAGGCUGAGAAAAAGCUCAGAGCCUGGAAAGUCACAACCAAUCGGGCGCUAAUGAGCUGACUCACCAUAGGUGCAUUACGCAGCAGUGUAAACCUAGUGGCCCUCUAGAUCAGGGUUUCCCAAACUUGGGUCGCCAGGUGUUUUUGGACUACAACUCCCAUCAUCCCUAGCUAGCAGGACCAGUGGUCAGGGAUGGUGGGAACGAUAGUGCAAAAACAACUAGACACCCAAGUUUGAGAAACUCUGAUCUGGAUGUUGCUAAACUACACCUCCUACCAUCCCUGGUCAUUAAUGGUAGAGCAUUCAUAAGGCCCCAGUUUCAGCCACUGCUACCUCCAUGUUAGGGCUGGGGAAGUCUCCUGCCUGGAACCUCGGAUAACUGCUGCCAUUCAGAAUGGAUAGUACUUUAAUAUAUAUACUGAGUCAGACCAUUGGCCUAAGGCAGCCACCUACUAUCCUAAGGCAACUUAGGUUUUCAUUCCCAUGCAGCAUUUCCUGAAAUGGAAAAGAAGGAGCAGGGUGUGUCACAAGCCAAUCUAUGUUCACAGGAGCUCAGUCAUAUCAAUUCCUAGUCCGUCCAUCCGUCCCAGAACUAAAGAAUCAAAGCUAGAGUGAUAUGGACUCUCUAAUACAGCAAUGCUAAAUAUUUCCAUUUUUAUCUUUUCAGCAUGAUGUUAAAAUAUUAUGUAUAUAAAUGUAUAUAAAACAUUCAAGCAAGUUUAAAGUAACAUGAUGCAAAAAUCAGGAAAGAACUAUGUAUGUUGGAUUACAGCCAACUGUGAUGAAUACUGAAGUUCAUGACAUUAUUUUGUCAAUAUUUCCGUCAGGUAGUUUCAAAGGAGAAUGUAAAAUUAUUAAGGUAUUUCUGUGUUGUAUCCAAAAAUACUUUUCUUUUCUUUUUACAGCAUAAUAUUCAGAGAUGUUUAUUCGCACUAAAUGUAGUUUUGUUUUCUAGAUGAUAAGGUCCGCCAUGAUGACCACAAAACCACUGAGAUCAGGGAUAAAACGUUUAAGUGGUUCUUACACAGGUAUCACAGAAGCAGUAAACAAAUGUAAUUCAAAGCUCAUUCUGCUCACAUGUUCAUCUUAACCUUAGGUCACCCCAGUACAUUUCAUUUCCUCCUCAUUCAUUCCUCCUUUAUUCAUGAAGAGGAAAAGCUAGCAGAGCAUCAUCAACAUUUUCCCCAAGCAGAAGAAACUAUAUUACCAUUAAUCUUACUAUUUAUACCAAAGAUAACCAGUAUAUAUAGCCACUGUAAAAUAAAAACAUGCAAAAAAAAUCUGAACGCUACACAAAACAUUGAAAAUAAAAAUAUGAUCUGUUACUCAAGGGUCCGUUGUGCCAUUAAGAAAUUAGUGACAAGGAUGACCGAAACUUCCAAAGCAUAUCAAAAUCAUUUGUACACUCAUUUUGUAACAGAGUGUCAAAAGGACUACUCACAAAUGUCAUUCUCUGCUUGACUCUUUAAGAGUGCUUGUUUUUGAAGCUCAUAUGCUGAUAAGAAUUUGCCUAGGAACAUUUAAGAAUACCAACAGAAAGGUGUUCCUAUUUCAUUGCAAAUGUCUAAAGUAUUCUGUAAAAUGUCUGUCUGUAAAAAAUGGAGAGACAGUGGACAGGCUGUUCAAAUGAAAGGACAGCCAACGCAAGAAGCCUAUAGUCCCAGCUUUUUUUUUUUUUUUACUAUAUGAUUAUUUGAAUACUUUGAACAAUGUGCUGGUACUUGACCAUUUUGGAUCAUAUACAGAGGUUUGCAUAAUGUUAAAUAUUUUUAGAUUACAGUACCUAAAUUUUGUUCAUUUCACUUCCAGGCCCAGGCACUUCUGAGAACAAGCUGCUCUGUAAGAAAUUUGCGAGAUACAAAAAUGUUUGCAAAAAAUAAUAAUAGUUUUUUACAGUUAAACUAUUUUUUUCCAGAACUUUAGAGUUUGUUGCCUUUUCUGGCCCAAAGUUGUGCUUUCUUCCACUCAUUUUGUCUUUCUGGUACUAUAAGGGAAACGGUCAUCAUUGAGUGAAUACUGUGUAUUCCAAUUCCAACUGCCACUGGCCAACAGCAACUUUGUUGUUGAACCUAGCCAUCUAUGAGGCUGUAAACGUGUGUGUCAGAUUGUGCAGCAAAAAUGUACUUCUAGGCAUUAGAGCAGAUCUGCAGCAGGGAUGGGGAAGCUGAGGUUCUCCAGGUGUUGACAAGACUAGAACUCCCAUCAUCCCUUGGUCACUGACCGUGCUGACUGGGGUUGAUCAGAUUUGGAAUCCAACAGUACCUGAAGGUUCUCCAUCCCUGAUUCAGGCAUGGUCAGGUGUUGUUGGAUUCCAACGGCAAUUAGUCUCAGCAUGACCAAUAGGUGGGGAUGGUUUGAACUGUAAUCCAUCAACUUCUUGGGGGAGGUGAUGGCACCACAGUAGCUACCUCUGAAGAGACUAGAGUGGAUCUGAAAAUGCAUGUUAGCCAUCCCUAAAUUCUAUGCUAUCCAACACGUUUAUUGAUAUAUUUCGUUCUUUUGAAAAACCCUCCCUUCAGAACAGGGUAAUGACCACUGUGAGAACACAACGGUAGACUCGAUGGACCUUUGGUCUGACCCAGCAAAAAUCUUCUUCUAAUUUUCUUACAGAUAUUUAGGUCCAAGCACCUCUCUUUUUUUGUUGCCCAUGGCAGCCAUUUGGCAGCCAUUUGGUGCUGGCAUCCAUGGCACUUUUAUCAAGAUAUGACUUCACUAUCACUUCAUUAUUAUCACUUUAUUAUUAUUAUUUUUCAAAAAAGGCACUGUGUAUCUUCCUCUGUUAUUACAUGCAUGCUCUCUUGAUAAUAAAUCCAUUAUAAUAAGCUUGUUGAUCCUGCAUAUUCUACAAGUUCUCAUCAGGUGGUUUUCUUUUCCUGACACAGCUUAUAUACCUGGGAUGCUAACCUCACAGAUGAACUCACUUCCACAUAAAUGCAUCUAGGACUUGAACUGCAGGAAGGGGCAUGGUUAUGUCCCAAUUAAACAUCCACAACAUUUGUUGAUAUCAGCAAAAAUGACUGACACUGGCCUGUAUUAACAUAAGUUAGCUAUCAGCAGUAGACUUGCCCCAAAAAAUAUUUGGGCAGUUCUUGUUUGUGUUACUACUUAAGUACAGUGGUACCUCAGGUUACAUACACUUCAGGUUACAUAUGCUUCAGGUUACAGACUCCGCUAACCCAGAAAUCGUACCUUGGGUUAAGAACUUUGCUUCAGGAUGAGAACAGAAAUUGUGCAGCGGUGGUGCAGCGGCGGCAGCAGGAGGCCCCAUUAGCUAAAGUGGUGCUUCAGGUUAAGAACAGUUUCAGGUUAAGAACGGACCUCCGGAACGAAUUAAGUAUGUAACCAGAGGUACCACUGUAACUUGGUUUCACAUAAUUGCAUUGGGUUAUUAUGGAUGGGAGGGAUGCGGGUGGCGCUGUGGGUAAAACCUCAGUGCCUAGGACUUGCCGAUCGUAUGGUCGGCGGUUCGAAUCCCCGCGGCGGGGUGAGCUCCCGUCGUUCGGUCCCAGCUCCUGCCCACCUAGCAGUUCGAAAGCACCCCUAAGUGCAAGUAGAUAAAUAGGUACCGCUUUAUAGCGGGAAGGUAAACGGCAUUUCCGUGUGCUGCGCUGAUGCUGGCUCGCCAGAGCAGCUUCGUCAAGCUGGCCACGUGACCUGGAAGUGUCUGCGGACAGCGCUGGCUCCCGGCCUCUUAAGCGAGAUGAGCGCGCAACCCCAGAGUCGGACACGACUGGCCCGUACGGGCAGGGGUACCUUUACCUUUAUUAUGGAUGGGAGGGUAUUCCUUUGAAAAACAACUGCAGUUAUCAAGAAGUGUGUUCAUAAAAACACUUAAACCAGCAAAAGUUGUGGUGAAAUUGAAGGCCUCCGGUCCUACCAGAUGAAUAAUAAGCAGUGAGGUCCCUGACACUGAGGGAGACGGCAGGUAUAUUGUAAAGAGAGCUCCACUGGUUCUCUCAGCCAUGAAGGAGUGACCCCUAUCCACACUCACAACUUAAGGCUGUAAUCCUAAUCAUAUUUACUAGGGAAAAGCCCCACUCAGGGAUAGCCCUACCAUUAAGAGUAUAACCUGAUUGCCUAAACUGGCAAAUACUGGGCAGUAAUGGCUACAUGCACACACAAAAUCCUGCCACAGGCAGGAUUCAGUGCCCCAGCUGUAACGAUGAUGUUGCAGCUGCCCUGGACCAUGUCAGCUACUUCCUUCUCUCAACCAAACACAAGCAGCAUUCUUGGGAAAGGGCCCUGACUGAUUAAGUGAGCUAACAGAGUAAUGGCCAGGCCAUGCGCUCCAGAGGGCAUUGUGCAUGUGUCAUUAUACAUUAUAAAUAGAGGGUCUUUCUUGCGCCUCCAUAUAUCAGAUUAAUGUUGGUAGUUUAUGGAAGGGGCAGGCAGGAGGCUGAUCAAGAUCUUGUGGUAGAUCUCUGAGCGAUUUGCAUGAGAUCAGCAAAGGGUUUCUAUCUCCCAGUUGUUUAGCAAUACCCACUAGCUUUAUCCAUUUCUUAUAUGUAUAACCUUCCUUAACAUUAUAUAUAUAUAUAUAUAUAUAUAUAUAUAUAUAUAUAUAUAUUCAAAAAUAUGUUUGAAAUAAAACUUCAUUGUCCUGCAAAGUCCAAUGAUCAGCAUUUUUAUCUAUUUCUAAAACACGUACACUGCAGUUCUAAAGUAGAACUCAUUUGGAUGUACAUCUCAUUGAAAGUGGAAAGAAAAGUUGAAGUCUAUUACACUAUUACUCAACAACCAAGCAACUAUAAAGCACAUGCAGGCGAAUGCUGGGAAGCAUAUUCCACUGAAGUCAGUUAGCUUGGGGCUAGUCCUACAUAGACAGAAAAAUGAGGGGGUGGGAUGGACUGACCCAUUUUUUUUCGACUGCAGGUAGGGAAAACUGGUUUUGAAUGCUGCCCCUAACAAAACAUAAUCUGGGAGGACACUAACCUUGGCUUCUGCCUGUUCUUCUAGGCUUAUUUGAAAUAAUAAUAAUAAUAAUAACAAUAAUAAUAAUAAUUUAUUAUUUAUACCCCCCCCCCCAAUCUGGCUGAGUUUCCCCAGCCACUCUGGGCGGCUCCCAAUCAACUGUUAAAAACAGUACAGCGUUACAUAUUAAAAACUUCCCUGAACAGGGAUGCCUUAAGAUGUCUUCUGGGAUGUCUUCUGGAUGGACUGUCCCAUUUUUUCUGACUGCAGGUAGGGAAAACUGGUUUUGAAUGCUGCCCAUAACAAAACAUAAUCUGGGAGGACACUAACCUUGGCUUCUGCCUGUUCUUCUAGGCUUAUUUGAAGUAAUUAUUUCAAAUAUUUUUAUGCCACCUUUAUUAACUCGCUAUAUAAUUUAAGAGCAUAUGUCUACUUUCAGGAAGCACUUUACAAAGAGAGUUCCAGGCAAAUUAAGAUCCCCUGCAGCCUGAAGCUGCAUCCAUCCAAGGGCUACACCUGACAACUUUACCACCUUAUUCUGCUUUUCCAGCCUUCAAGCUGUUCUACACCUUAUUCAGAACAAGGCAGUGGGAUGAGGUGGUAGAAUUCUGGACUAAGCCACUCUUCUAAACUUUUCUAGUUUUCUAAAUACAGGGAAAUUUUCAUUCUGUGUGAGAGUACUACAGAAUACAGCCUCCCCAUUCUCCACCUUGCAAUCUGAAUUCUACCACCUCAGUUUCUCACCUCAUUCUGCCUAAUAUGUGGGAUGGAUCUUGUUGUGUACAACACCGCUUAGAAAUUCUAAGGAUUAAGCAGUAUAUAAAUGCCUUAAACAAACAAACAAGUACAUGUGUGAUGGGCUGAGGCGCAAGGGAUUCGUCCAAAGAUGAAGUAGCUUGCAUACUUAACUUGGAAGGGCAUUCCACUUCAAUAAAUAACAGUUUCAAGAAAAUGUAUUAUUUUACUUCCACUCCAGGUGAACAAAAUAGUGACAACCACAAAUGUUUGCACCCUGUUUCAUACGCGUGAGAGCCAGAAAGAAAGGUAUGUUUAAAUCACACAACCUUCACCCCCUCCCCCCCCCCCACCCGACAUGCUGGUUUUACUAAUUGGAUAAUAACACAUAUUACCAUGACUGUCAGUUACCACUGUGCUCAUAAAAGUUAUGUGACUUAAGUGUGCAAUUUCAUCACUGAACUGCAUAAAUAAUCAAGUAAAGGCAAAUCAUUUAAUGUGAGGCAUAUCCCCCCCCCUUCUCUAUUUCUUCCAGCACAGCAUUUGGGUUUCUCUGCUACAGUGAUGUGUACAUUUCAAACUCUUGUCUGCAUUCUACAAUCCAAAGGUAAGCAUUUCCUUUACCUUAUUGUAAACCCAACUCAAGAGUUUACCAAGGUAAAACCCAAAAAGAGGUUGUGCAUCCGGUCUCUACUUCAUAGCAUAAGAUUGGAGUUUCUGGACCUGCUGUUGUGAACAGUGCAAUCUCUCAUUGUAAAACUGCGAGGGGGGUGUCAUUAAUCCAUCGGUACAUCAUCUCGCUGUCUUCUAACAGAGUUUCAGUCUGCAUGCAGUAACCCUUUUCUGACACAUUCUUCUAACACUGAUCUUAAUCUAUAUAUCUGCAAGCAAUUGAAAGAUAUACUGCCCACUGCUUUCUUCCAACCAACAUCUGUAGACUAACAAAAUUACUGACAUCUUUAAUAUAGUAGGGAUUCCAGAUGUUGAAAGAAUGCAUGGUUUGCUGAAGGUUGAAUGUAGCAUCUGCAAAUAUUAAUAAAUGUCUCACAAACUUGAGACCUGUGGCUGAAUUUUUAAAAUAGUUUUUAUAUGAGAAUUCAUGAACACGACAGGUACUAAACAAUAUCCAAAGUCGAAAUACAUUUAAGCAUGCACACACACACACACACACACACACACACAUUCAUUCAUUCACACACACAGAACUUCUCCUUCCCCAGCCUCCAAGUUAAGGCAGAAAACAACAUCCACUUUGGACAAUAGACCAUCUUCUUUAUAUACCCAAAAAGUCUCUGUCUAAAAGUACCAAGAACAUGUAUGGCACGGGACAAACAAAUGCAUCCAUAAAGCAAUACUGGUGUGUCUAUUGCCAUGUGUCAGAUAAUGCACAUUAAAGGUUCUCCAAAUUGUGUGCUAGAACCAUAUAGCCGACAUCUCUCUAUAAGACAAAACCAAACCAAAAGCACUUCACACAGUUUCCAGUGCAGUCUUAGCAUACAUGUCCUUACCAAAAAAUAAAUAAAUAGACUCUACUCCAUCUCAAAAAUAAUACACCUUCCAUUCUGGUAAAGUAGUCAAGCACACACACAACACUCUUUAGUUGUUCCUUCAACACCACUUCCAAGUUCACCGGUAGAACUUUCCCCAGUUUCUUUUCCCUCAUCUAUUCCUUGACUCACACUUAAAAGCGAAGGGGAUUUCAGCCUACCUCUGGGUGUCUUGCGGUCCAGUCGCCCGUACUGUAUGUACACAGUGAUGGAGAGCAGGGAACUCUUCAGUGAUAAUCAGUGCUGAGAGGCUGCUCCCUUGCAUAAUGUACAUCCUCUAGCAGCAGGCUCUGUUCACCGCAGCUGGCAGCAGCCUUUGCAGGAGCAGUGAUGAGCACAGCUUGAGACUAUCCACAAUUAACCAAAUAUUGUAUGGCAGCAACAAAUCAACAACUGAAAAAAAGGGGGGGAGAAACCGAGCUUAUAAAUAAGAGCAAAGUACAAUUUCAGAUGGGAGCUGAAAGCUUCGAGUCACCGAACAGUACAUUUCGUCUUGAAGAUUAUUCCAGCAAAGCUCCUUCUGCUAUUUUUUUUUUUUUACUGUACCAUAAUGCACUAGGUCUGGCUUUUACCCUAUUGAAAGAACAUGAAUAUAUUAUUAUCCACACAAAAGAGCAGGUUAUUGUUUAUGAAUUACCAGCCUUCCCAGCAACAAAGGCUAUUUUCAUAAGAAAACUCAAUUUCAUUUUAGCUCCAAUUUGAUUACCAGCUGAAGAAAAGAAACCCUAUGCCUAAACCUCAAAGGAUUUUUAUUCAUGCUACUGAAUGGGCUUUAUUGCUUCCCUUUCAAGACUGACGUAGAAAGCUUUUAGAGUAAAACAUUGACAAAAAAUUAUUGCGCUGCUAUUUUGUGCAAUAACAGAGCUGAAGAGGGGCAAUGAUUUCUCAGUCAUCCUUCACUGUACUUCAGAAUAGCAAAGGCUGGAAUUAAUGACAGACCAUAGAGAGGAGCCAAGCUAAGGUCUCACAAUGCAUGUCAAAUCUAAAUGAUCACUAUACAUUGAAAAGGCCCCCAAAAAAGAGCUUGCAGCUGAUUGAUUCAUGGCUUUCACAAGAAAGACAGGCUUGAAGAGUUUAUUGCACCACAAUUUACUCUGAAUUAUCAUAAAAAUGAAUGUAGAGGCUGAAUGUCACCCCGGCACACUCCAAAAUCACACAUCCAAUGACAAAGUUCAACCAGGAAUUAUAGCAAGGCUGUUCAUGCUACUGUAGUUAAAGGUCUGACAGGUUUUUUUGGGGGGGGGUGUUUUUUUGCUCCCCCUAUUAUAAGCGUGUUGGUUGUUGUUGUUUUUAGCUCAGCUGCAAAACUAGGAUUUAAAAAGAACUUGGCGCACAGGGUUUCCUUUUAAAAAGAGUAUUCUUUUAACAAAUUUAACAUUUUUCCCUCCUUCCUGCCUGGUUUAAAGUUAAACAUUUGGAAAAGAAAAACACAGAGCAACAGCUUGGCAAUUUCUUCUGACUCAACCAUUCUGUGUCGCUUGAGAACACCGUGUGAGAUAUUUGUGCGUCUUUAAAAAUAAGAUUAACUAUCAGAUCACUGGUUAUGAAGGUUGGCUUCAGUGGUAAAGUCUUUUAUCUAACUUAUAUAGAAACAUCUUUACAUGUUGUGUAAUUCACUUAUAUCGGUAUCUGUACAUUCUUGGGCAUUUCCUCCCCACUCAGAGUAGUUGCCAUCUUCCUCCUCCUUCUCCUCCUCUUCCCCCUCAUCUUCUGUAUUCACAAUUUGACUGAAGCAACCGAUCAGUGGAUGAUUUGUUCCAUUAAGAAAUCUCCACACAUCUAAGAAUAUGUAAACCAAAAUAAUUCUACAACUUAUAAAUAUUUAAAAAUGGUCUCACUCCGUUUUUAUACAACAUGGUUUUUGCUGCCUUCUGCACCGCAUCUAGAAUUGGCUUCACCACAGUGCACAAGUUUGAUUCAAUGAGACCUAGGCUUCAGUCCUCUAUAUCAGCCUUCCCUAACUUGAUGCCCUCUCAGAACCACACCUCUCAUCAUCCCUAACCACUACCUGUGGUUGACUGGAGUUGUAUUCCAAAACACCGACAGGGCAUCUAAUUGAGGAAGGCUGCUGUACACCUUUCCAUGCGCGAAUGCCCCACUGAAUUCAGCAGUAAACUUAUUUCUGCCACAGAUGGCAAUAUUGAAGGCUUAACGCCUACCUGAUAAGGAGGGUGUACCAAUGUGCCUCAACACAAGCAGAAUAACCAGUAUCAAUACAAUCAUACACCAUCAUUCUAAAUGGAUGAAAUCUAAUGUAAGAGAUCUUUGCUUCUUCUUUGACUUAAACUUGUACUUGAACUCUGAGUUAGACACCUCCCCUAAAAGAGGCAUUCUGGAAUUGGGCAUGAGUGAAUGAUUUAGCAUUCAGUAAAACAAUAAACUACAAAACAGACUUUCAGCAGGCUCGGCUCUAUCAUGGUUUCCUUUUGGGUUUAAAAAUCCAAGUAUGAAAUAGCUUGUCCCCAAAUCCUUAACUUCUGGUGCCUUAUACUUAAUCUGAAUUGAUGUUCUUUCCUUCAUCAGUAAACGGUAAUUUGACUUUUAAAAAAAAUAAAUGAAGAAAUUGAACAGCCCUUGGAAGCUUGAAUGGAGACCCUAAGUUAGAAGAGGUACCGACAACACAGCUUAAGUCAACAUCACACCAGGGCUGCCAUAAGACUUGGCAUCUGAGAUCCCUUUCAGAUACCCUCCUAUGCAGAAAUCUCCCCCCUCCAUUAAUCUUUGCUGUAAUAAUAUGAAAAUUACUAAAUUUAAGACCCCAUAAGAAGUCUGUGAGCUACCCCCACCUCAGUACUCAACCAACAGGAAAUAUUGUUUACCUUUUAAUCGACAAUGUGGCUUUAGAUGUGAAAUGCUGCUUUUCUAAAACUGCAUUUAUUAGACUUCAACUAAAAGCCACCAAGCACCAUCACUAGGUCACAAAGCAGCAUCUUAUUUGCAUGUUAUGUUUGCAUCCUGCUAGUCUUUCAAAGCCUUCACAGCAACUCAGGUAGUUCCCAGGUGGUCUCUCAUUUACAUGCUGCUCAAGGCCAGACCUGGUUAGCUUAGGCAUUCUAUACCUUCAGACAAUGCUCUGAAUUACGAUUACAUGAAGUAACUUCAGAGGAAGUAAUGCUUCUAAAUGCUUCUAAACCACAGGAGGGGAGAUUGCCCUUGUGCAUGGGGUUCCCACAAGCAUCUGGGUGGCCACUGUGAGAACAGAAUACUAGACUAGGUGGACGAUUGGCCUAAGCCAUCAAGUUCUUCUUUUGUUCUGCUGUUAACUGCAUACUCCUAAGCACGUUGGUUCAUUUUCUAUCACCAGCCAUUUGAGCACAUGGUAGCAGAGCCAUAUGUUGUUCCUCAUAUCUCCACACACUUGAAAAAUGGCAUUUGCUGCAAUGUGCAAAUGCUGGAAUCUGUGUGGCAGUAGGUAGUUGCAUAUGACUAGCCAACCAUAGGUAGGGAAUCAACAAGCACAGAAAGCUCAAGUAACUAGCACACCCCAAAGAUAGAAUCUUUUGUUUUACUAGCCAGAGUUGUCCUGCCAACCUAGCAAUUUGAAAGCAUACCAGCUCGGUAAGUUAAAUGGCAUUUCCAUGCACUCUGACACUUGUCACAGUGUUCCGUGCACCAGUAGCGGAUUAGCUAUGCUGGCCACAUGACCCAGAAAGCUGUCUGCGGACAAACGCCAGCUCCCUUGGCCUGAAAGUGGAGAUAAGUGCCGCACCCUAUAGUCGAAUUUGACUGGACUUAACCAUCCAGCAGUCCUUUACCUUUACAUAGCUCACAGCCUUUUCAAAAGCUUACAGUGAUCCAUAACCUCUCAACAUAUCAGUGAUGCAUUCAGGUGAACAUUAUCAUAAAGGGACUUUCAUUAGUUUUGCUUUACUGAUCAAUGCAAAUCUCUUUCCCAAACUUAUUGUCCUCCUCGCAGUAAUUUGAGGCACUUUUUUUUUUUUUUUGCAAAACACAGGUAAUGACUGAAGUUUGAAAUUUGUUUCACAGCAGGCCUAUCACACACAAGAAUAAAGUAGACUAACAUACCAGGCAAAUGACAAUCCCUCCUUUCAGUUGCUGGGAGCCCAAGGAUGUAGCAGCAGAGUAGACCUCAUUCUGGCCACCCUAUGCAGCACCUAUGUCACUUUAUGCCUGCAUCAAAGCUCCCCCACUUGAGCCCUAAGGUUUUUAAGCUACCUUCCCCUGGCUUGAUUGUUAAGCUACCUUCACCAGGCAUGGGGAGUCUCAUGACCUAGGCCAGCAGGCAAACAAAGUAUUUAAUCUACAGCUGUGUUAUCUCUGCACCAGGAGCACAGCUGUAAGCAAUCAAGUCAGCAUUAGAAUCACUACUGCUGGGCUUUAGGAGAGCCAUGAAGCCCUGCUUUCAUAUGGUGAUAGGUAAAGGUAAAGGGACCCCUGACCAUUAGGUCCAGUCAUGGCCGACUCUGGGGUUGCGGCACUCAUCUCGCUUUAUUGGCCGAGGGAGCCGGCGUACAGCUUCCGGGUCAUGUAGCCAGCAUGACUAAGCCACUUUUGGCGAACCAGAGCAGCGCACGGAAACGCCAUUUGCCUUCCCGCCGGAGCAGUACCUAUUUAUCUACUUGCACUUUGACGUGCUUUCGAACUGCUAGGUUGGCAGGAGCAGGGACCAAGCAACAGGAGCUCACCCCGUCGCGGGGAUUCGAACCGCCAACCUUCUGAUCAGCAAGUCCUAUGCUCUGUGGUUUAACCCACAGCGCCACCUGCGUCACUUCAUAUGGUGAUAUGAAGAGUUAAUUGUGCAAGGCCACGUACACGUUUUCAGAUUAACCAUUCAUCUUCCAACAUUUCCACUACAAUUCCUAAUAUGGAGUUCCCGUGCAACUUGCUCUUUGAUCCUGAGGUAACAUUCUCACAUACUUCCAGUGGCAUGGGACCUCAUGGUAAAAGGCAGGUAAGGAAUCUAGAGUACUAAAACAAUAAUAAUUCUCUAUGGGGUGACUCCAAGUCACUUGGAGUAUGAGUAUCUCUCCCAUUUGUGUAUUGGAGUACUACUUUUUUGUGGGUCUUUCCCAGCCAAAGGGCACCCUCUCUACCAGGCAGUGAUCAGGUGAAUGUUUUAUUGAGGUGGAGAUAACUACUACUCCUUGGUUUAAAAAAGUACGCACUGCUUUUCUCAGCAAUUAAUAUAUUGUCUGCUGCAGUUCUGCUCCCCCAACUGCACCCCACCCUGAAGCAUCCUUUCAUCUUUUUACAGCAUGGCACAGAUAUUGAAGAAGUCUGUGUGCCAUUAAUAAACACACUCUCCAAAAAGGAGUGCAGCCAAUUCAGAACUCACCGAACAGUCUCUGUUCAAUCUAAUCUCUGUAGAGGAGAGAAGGGUGAAGAUCCGUGCCAGCUGGCUAGCAACGUCACCAGGGAUGCACAGAAGCAAAUAGAAAGCUUGAAGAAAAGCCAUGGAAAAUGAGAAGAAGCAGCCUGAGAUGCAGAGCUGAGGGCAGAAUGUUGUGUUUGGGCUGCUUGUGAGAUAGCACUGCAUGAGUCAGUCAAACCGGUCAAUUAGUCAGAGGGGUUGGAGCUGGGAGUUAAGAGCACGUAUCUUCUGUUUUUCAGGUUAUUUUGUUUCCGGUGUGUUAUUGGUAAUAAUGUGAAACAAAAAAUAAAAUAUUAAAGGUGGCCUUUUCUACUAACAAUGAGAGCUUUUGUUUAUUAAAUUGUACAAUACCACAGGAGCCCCAAAAGACACAUUUAAUUAGCAGGGGUGCUCUGCAAAUCUACUUAAAUGUACUACAUGAGGACAUCAUAAUCAGUGAAAAAACAAACGCUUAAAACUAAAAACUAUUUAAUCAUUUGACAACUCUAAUAUGUGGUUGUCUUAAGCCUGCCUUGUUAAUUCUGGUUUUCCAGUUUGGCGUUUUCAUUUCAUUUUUAGGAAUGAAUGCUAUUUACUAGUUAUACCAUUCAAGAGUUUCUUAACAAGGUGGGCUCUAAGGAGGGGGGAGGGAAACCCAAAUUCCUCUGAUUCUGAGCAAUUUAUAAAUGUGAAAUAAGUGAAAAUAUCCAGUGGGGUGGUAGAAGGGAACUACAGAGUCAAAAGCAUGCGCCGAUCAAAGCGCAUUUCCUGGUUAUUGGGAACUGCUUACAAAUUAUGAGGCCUAGGAAAAUACAAGGUUUCUCAUCAGGUAUUCUGGGAAGGUCAGUUUAUUCACACAUGCAGAAUAGUAGAGAAUGGAGUAUUCAGUAAACUUUGGCCAUUGCUAGAACGGCAGUGAUGGAACGGUUCCUUCCUUAGAACCAAGCAUGCCUACAUACAACACCUCAAAGGGCCCACAAGAUCUGCGUUUUCUGCAGCUAUCCCAGCUUUGUUAUCAUGGCCAGAGAUUUCUUUUGCAAGCCAAACCCCCUUCUGUGGAACGCAGAGAUGAAAGAGAGAGAUAUCAUUUAAAUCUAUCUUUGUUGAUAACAUUGCAGAAUAGGGAACUUGGCAUCAAAUGCUGACAUCCUGAGACAUUUCCCACCUUGGAAACAAGAAGUCAAAAUGAUACCUGUCUUUUGUUCCUCCUCCCACCUGUCAAGAUGGAUGCUGGAAGCCUCUCAAAACAACUGCUUCACUUUGCUUUGUGGUAAGACCAGCCCCUUUGCCUUUGUCUUAUUUUAAGUACAAUCCUGGCAUUCAACUGCAUUUUGUUUUAUAGUUGCUUGGUUGUUUAAUAAUACAGUGACAUACCUCAAGUUUUCUUUCAGCCUUCAGUGAGUUAUACCCAGUGCUUUUUUCCCAGAAAAAAAAUGCAUUUCCUCCAGAAGACCCACCAGGGAGCCCAAAGAGAUCCUCUUCUCCUCUCCAGCCAGAGGCUUGCUGAGGCUGCUCAGCUGAGGCGAUGGGAGCCUUCCACACCUCAGCCAAGCAGCUUAACGAGCCCCCACUGCACCUGUCUGGCUCACGUGAGCUGGAACAGCUGGGGCCUUGCUCAGCUGAGGUGAGGCUUUCCCACGGGUCACCUGUUAGCUGGGAGGCUGAAGAACCUCAGCAAAGCCCUGCUGUGCCUCUGGCUCAUGAGGAGACUCUCUCCAGAGCCCUUGGAUGAUGUCCAUUUUGGACUCCAGGGUGGGUCUCCUCGUGAGCCGGGAACAUAGUGGGGCUUUGCUGAGGAUUGGUCAGAUCCAGCACGCUCUUACUAUGUUCUUAGGUUUCGUUCUCACUUAAUUCUUCGUCCUCCGGUCGCUAUGUAAAAGGUGAUCUUGAUGCAACCACUUGCUCUGCAAAAAGUAAAUCUACAGGGUGACAUCUACUACAAUGGUACCUCGGUUUACGAACUUAAUCCAUUCCGGAAGUCCAUUCUUAAACCGAAGCCAUACUUAAACUGAGGCGCGCUUUCCCUAAGGAUGCCUGCCCUUCCACCGUUAGUAUUCCAUUCUCAGACCAAGGUAAAGUUCGCAAACCGGGACACUAUUUCUGGUUUUGCGGAGUUCAUAAACCAAAUAGUUCGUAAACAGGGCUGUUCUUAAACUGAGGUAUUAGUACAUUGGUACCUCGGGUUGCAUAUGCUUCAGGUUACAUAUGCCUCAGGUUACAGACUUCGCUAACCCAGAAAUAGUACCUCGGGUUAAGAACUUUGCUUCAGGAUGAGAACAGAAAUCGUUCUCCGGCAGCGCAGUGGCAGCAGGAGGCCCCAUUAGCUAAAGUGGUGCUUCAGGUUAAGAACAGUUUCAGGUUAAGAACGGACCUCCAGAACGAAUUAAGUACUUAACCCGAGGUACUACUGUACACCCAUUGAAAGCAAUGGAUGUGUUCCAACUAUCACCUUUUUCACACACACACACAGCAUUUUUGUGGAACUGGGGCUAUGCUGGUCUUCAGGAACAAGAAAUGCAAAGCAAUGGCUUUAUUAAGCCCACUUGUUUGUUGCAGAAGAAUUAAAGUUUUGCCUUUAUACAAACACUAUUCAAGGUGUGGCACCGGUUUUCAUGCUAAGAAAAAGUGACUUCUCUAUUCCAAAAGAAAGAAAGUAUGCAAGAGAGAAUCAGAACUGGAAGCAGGUAAGAGGGGAUUGAAAGCAACAUAAAUUAACUGGUGGCACCCUUUGCGUUCUCCUCAGUAUAGUGCAUUAAGCGCAUUAUGUAUCAAAAUAUUAAGAAGGGCUUCUUCUUCUUUUUUUUAAGUCCACUGUUAUUGAACUUGAAACCUUUAAUGGUGAGCAAAGCAGUGUUUUUCUUUAAUAUAAUUUUACUAUUGAUUUCUUCAUUCAUUCAAUCUGAAUGAUUCUGACAGUUUUUUGAAAAGAUACAUUACCUUGAUGAAAGAUGCAAUAUUUCGCAUCCAAGGAAGCAAAGGCUGAUCGCCUUGCCUCCUGUGCCAUGGAACUGAAUACUAAACUGCAGCUUCGUAGCAUCAGCAAAUGGAGCAAUGCAUUAAGUUUGCAUUCUUUCAUUAUGCACCAUUGUAAUGUAUAUAUUAAAAUGCAGAAGUUAACCAAGGUGGGACUAUGUCUUCAUCUUCUAUUCAUCUCGGUCCUCCCUAGAAAAGCAGAACGCUGUUUUCUUUGGCCAUGAUUUAUGCAAGUUGGUUGGGGUCCCUGACGCACAGCCCGGCAUAGAGGCGGGGAGGGGAGGGGAGCAAGAUUAUCCCACCUUGGUGUGGCUAUGCUGCCGAGGGAGGAGGCCGUAUGGUGACAUCAGCACAGGUGGGGGCGGUGGGUUCCCCAUGGCAGUCAAUUCGGUGGGACCCCCAAGCAGAUCAGAGAGAAGAGUGCUAUUUAAAUAGGCCCACCCCCAGUUUGCUCACCCAGUCGGUCAAAGAAGGUUGUUUUAGUUUUGUUUUGAUUAUUGAGAGGGAGGGAAUUUUUUUUCCAAUUUCUUCAUGGCCCCACUGGAUAAAAAUUCAAUGGGGAGGACCUAUAAGGCAAUACAGUGGUACCUCUGGUUGCAAACAGGAUCUGUUCCGGAGCCCCGUUCGCAACCUGAAAGAAACACAACCCACAUCUGUGCAUGCACAGGUCGUGAUUCGCCGCUUCUGCGCAUGCCCGAGAUGUCAUUUUGUGCAUCUGCACAUACGCGAAACCCAGAAGUAACCCUUUCCGGUACUUCCGGGUCGCCACGGGACACAACCUAAAAAUGCGCAACCUGAAGCAAACGUAACAUGAGGUAUGACUGUAUGGUAAAACAGCACUACCUGGUGUGCGCAGGUUGAGAAGCCUGGACUAAAAUCAGAUGCUGGAAAUUAGUUCAUAUUCCAGUACUGUCUCACUCUGUACUAUCACUGUGUUGUCACACCGGUUGAUGCUGCAAUGCACUCGCCCUUUUCAUGCGUUGAAAAGAAUGCAUGUGAGCAGAGAGUGUAAACAGUGUGGCAGGUCUGGCCCACUCAUGGGGCAGGGUGAAGCAGCUGCCUAGAAGCAGCAGGGGCCCCUGAGGGGACACCCCCAUGGAUGCUCCACCAGUCACUCCAUGGCUGAUGCAAGAACCGUUUCUCCCGCUGGUGAUGAAAAUGGCAGAGCAGGCAGAGUAGAGAGAGCCAUGUGGAAUGCUACUUCCCAUUUCACCUCAAGUGGUGAGACUGGAUGCACUGGCUAUGCAAUGUGGACAUACCUUCUCCAGCCCGUCUUCCUGUGUCAAACAGAAAGGUCAGAAGGUGUUUUCUUGUUUUUAAAGUACGCUCAGCAUCAAGUACACAACAGUAUCAAGUACAGUGGUGCCCCACAAGACGAAUGCCUCGCAAGACGGAAAACUCGCUAGACGAAAGAGUUUUCCGUUUUGGAGGUGCCUCGCAAAACGAAUCUGCUAUGGGCUUGCUUCGCAAGACGAAAAUGUCUUGCGAGUUCCUGGGUUGUUUUUUUCCUUUUCCCCCUCUUUUUCUAAGUCGCUAAGCCGCUUAUCUGCUUAUCCGAUAAGCUGAUAAGCUGCUAAAAGCCGCUAAAAGCCGCUAAAAGCCGCUAAUAGCGCUAAUAGCGCUAAUCCGCUAAUCCCAUCAAUGGGCUUGCUUCGCAAGACGAAAAAACCGCUAGACGAAGAGACUCCCAGAACGGAUUCUUUUCGUCUUGCGAGGCACCACUGUACAUU